GAUUUUAGCUUUCAACUAGUUCCUUUCCUUCCUCUAAAUAUAUUAUUGAAAUGGUGAUAGUUGACAGCAAAGAAAUUUGUUUUUUAAAUCUUCUUGUCCCCAGAGAACAGGUUUUUAUAACCUGCUCUUACGUUUGCAAGAAGAAUGAUGGAGAUGACGAUGAUGAUGACGAUGGCGCAGACGUAGCGCCUGCUGCAUAAUAUAUAUAUAUAUAUUUAGAGAGAGAUGACUGCUGUAGUGAAAUCAACAUCAUAGUGAUCUUGUUUUUCUAUAUAUAUAUAUAUAUAUGGUGCUGCAUGAAUCCUGAAGGGAAAUCAACAUCGUACUGAUCGAUGUUGUUUUUCCAUACAUGCAUGGUGUUGCAUGAAUAUUGGAGUUAAGCAGGUCAAUGUAAGAGCUGUUGUCUCUUGGUCAAAUAUUAAUCAUACUUAUUUACUAUAGUAUUUUGUUUUGAAGAUGGACUUCAAUAUCAGUAGGGUAAGACUACUGCUAGACUCGCUAAUUUAUUUAUUACAUCAUUGAUUUCUCCAGAUAAAUAUUAUUGAUGAUUGAUUUAUUACUAUAAUGAAUAGUUUUAUUAUAAAACAUGUUAGACGUUCAUUAGAAAAAAUGUUUCUUCUUUUUUAUUUUAAUUCAUCAAAUAUUUUGUACACUAAUUCUCUAUUUAAAAUUAAGAAUUUUAUAAGAAUUAAUUUAAUUUAAUUGAUUUCUCUUCUCUUAUUUGAAAUUAAAAAAUUUAAUUUUUUUUUUAAUUUAAAGUUUUUUUAUUUUAAAUUUAGAUGUUCAACCAGUUAAUUCUAAUUAAUAUAAAGAUAUGAAUAUAUAUUUAGUCAAAACUUUUUAUUUUCAAAUAAAUUAAAAUUUUAUAUAAUGAUUUUGUAAGAAUGUACGUUAUGAUUUUGUAAAAAUUAAAAUAAAUUAAAUUAAUUAGCUUAUGAAGUUGUUAUAUUAAUUUUUCAGGAGCAAAGUUCUGAUGUUGUUAUUGCUAUAUCUCUUUAUGAAUAUAUAUUUAUAUAAUUAUUUAAUAAUUUAAUUAAUUACACUUUUAAUCCGGUAUUAAGUGCAUUUAAAUGAAUAUGAGAGAUUUUAGGUUUUAUUUUUAAUCUCUAAUUAAUUUUCAGUUAAAAAAAAUAAUUUAAUUAAUUAAAAUAAUUUAUUUUUUUUAUAUAAAAAAGCAAAGAAAUUGAUGCAAAUUAUAACGAUGUAUAUCUUUUUUGCCCAUGAAUUUUUUUUUACUCGUAUUUUGUAUCUUUUUACAUUUGCAAUUGUAUUGUAAUUAUAUUGCAAUAAUAAUAAUAAUAAUAAUGUUUAAUUUUUUUAAUAUAUUAAGAGUGCAUAAUUGAUAUUUCAAAAUGAUAAAAAUAUCAUCAUAAUCAACUUCAAAUUAUUAUGUAUCUUUAAUCCAUAUUUCAUAUAAUUAUAUAUUUUUUUAAAUUAUUUUUAUUAUUAACACUUUCUUUUAUUUUAUAAUUUAAUGAAAAUUUCAUUAAAAUAAUUGAGAUAAAAAAAUUUAGUAUACAUAAAUAGUAAUAAAAAUAAAAUAUGGAGUAAUAAAAUUGGUAAGUUCAUGGAAUCUGACCCUAAGAAAUUUCAUUGAAACGGAAGAAGGGAUCCAAUCCUCUCGCAGUUAAUGUUAACGCAAAUUAUGGUAAUGUGGUCGUGGGUGACGUGGAAGGAGAUUCUCAAGAAGACCUAGCUACUGGGGAUACUAAACGAAAACGUGUGGGCCUGGAUCAACUCCAAGAAAAAGCCCAGGGUUUUGUCUCUAAUCAAGGCAUGUCCUAUGAUCCGAAAAAAACUUCAUCGGCCGGUUCGACCAGUUUGACCCGAAUCCACCGCCAGAAAUGAGCACCCUUAACUGGAAUUGCAGUCGGUUGGGCAACACACUCAAAUUUAUUGUUUUAGAAAAGAAGUCUGUUUUUAUUUUUCUUAUUUAAAUCAUUUGUAUUUCAAAUAAAGUUAAUCGAAUAAAGAAUAGGUUGAGUUAUGAUGAUUAUAUUUUAUAGAUUGUAUUGGGUAUAGUUGGGUCUGAUAUUACUAUUUCAACAGUGUAUUGAUGUGAUUAUUUCGAUCGAUAAUAUUGGUAUAUGAUAUAUGAUUGAAUUUAUAAAAAACGAACAGAUAUAGACAAAGUGAGUUUUGAAUUCUCCUUCAAAAUUUAGUUGAUAACAGUGGAGUAGAAAUGAUCGACAGUCUCAAAAUUUUAUUGAUAAUUUGUGAUGUUUUUAAUGUUGGUAAGAAGUUUGAUUUGAUCUAAAGGAAGAAACUCAAUUCAUGAAAGUAUUGCACCUUAUCAAAAAGGGGAAAGAGGUAUUGCUUAAGACUAUUUUGCAAGCUUUGCCUAUAUAUGUGAUGGAAUUUGUUUCUUCCUAAGACAUUUUGCCAGGAAUUACAACGUCUAAUGUGUAAUUACUGGUGGGGCAAGUGAAGCAAUCAUGAGAAGGGUGGUAUCAAUUGGAUAAGUUGGGAGAGAAUGAGCAAGCCAAGGUAUUUUGGAGGUCUUGGGUUCAAGAAGCUUCAUGCGUUUAAUGUGGCUAUGAUGGUAAAAUGGCGUGGAAAAUAAUGACAACACCAGAAUCAUUGGUGGCUCCUCUAUUGAAAGCCAAAUAUUUUCCUCGUACUUCUUUCCUCAAGUUACGUGUGGCGGAGUAUUUCGCAGUAUCAAAAGCUUGAUUAAAAGUGGCGCUUGCAAAAGAGUGGGUUCGGGUUCUUCGAUCUCUAUUUGGAUCCCUUCUUCCGUUUCAAUGAAAGUUAGGACUCCUAAGCAAAAUACUUUGGAGAGUUCUCCAUAUUAUAAAAUAAUUACUUUUAAAUAUAACAGUAAUCAUGUUUUUUAAAAAUUAUUUUUAAAUAUAAAUUUAAAUCUAUAAAAUUAUUUUUUAAAAUUUAAAUAUUUAUUAAAUUACGAUUAAGGUGUAGAUAUUUAAUAGAUAAAAAUAUUUAAAUUAGAUAUUUAAAUAUGUAUUUAAUAAAAAAUAUAAAAAUUUCAUAUGAUUUAUUUUAAAAAGUUUUAAAUUAUAUCUUAUAAAAUCAUAUUAAUUUUAUUUUUUUAAAAAAAUUAAAUUAAAAAAUUAAUUUUAUACGUUUUAAAUAAUAAAAUUAAUAAAAAAUAAUUAAAUCGAAUUCAAUUUUUAUGAAUUUUUUUAUUUUAAAUGAGGACUAACACUUCUUCAAGUAAUGUUUUGAGAUUAUAUAAAAAAUUAUUUAAAAUCAAAACGUUUUUUUCAUUGUAUUAAAAUUAAUAUAAUUUGUAUAUCAAUAAUUUAAUUAUUGUAUUUUAAUUUUAUCAAAUUAAAAUUUUAAUGCAAUUUCUUCUUUUAAUUAUUUAAAAAAUAUUAAAAUAUCUUAAAAGUAAAACUUUUUUCUUUGAACCCGAAUAACACGUUUCUUAAUUUUUUUUUUUAAAUAUUAGUUUUAUUGGAUUGAAAAUAUAUAUUAUUUGACUAUAUCAAUCUAAUAAAAUUAAAAUAUAUAAACUAAAUUAUCAUUAUUAAAUUUUAAAAGUUAAUAUAUAUAGUUCAAAAAAGUUUAUAUAAAUUAAUUUUAGUAUAACUCAUUGAUUUUUUUAAAAAAAAUCUAAAAUAAUAAUUUAUCAAUAUAAACGUGUGGUUAAAUAUAUCUACUAUUUAAGUUUUUAAUAAGCAAAUUUUUUCCACAUGAAUUAAUUUAAGCAGUAUUAUUAAUUUUCAAAAGUUUUCAUGGCAAUUGGUGUGCCGAGCAUGAUAAUUUAGUUUAUAUAUUUGUUAAUAUUAGCAACUUUUUAUGAAUAUUGUAAAUAAAUCAAAUCCAUUCUGAAAUACUUGAAAUUUAUUUUGAUAAAAAUUUAAUUGAAUUUUUAAAUAAUUUAAGUUUGAAUUUAAUUUUUAUACUCGUUUGGUAAAAGAAUUAAAUUUAAAUUUUAUAAUAUUCGACUCGUUAAUACUCAUAAGUUUGACUCAUUUCUGAAUCUAUGAGUAAGGUCGCGAAUAAAUUUAUAAGUAUUUUUAUUAAACAGAUAGAAAUUAAUAUUAUAAGAGAAAUAAAUUCAAACGAUACAUAUAUUUUAAUGGGAUAAAUAUAAAUUUUUUAAAAUUUAACUCUAUAUAAUUUAAUUACACUCUCAAAACUUAUAUAUUUAAAUUGUUAAAAGUUUAUAAACUAAUUUAUAUAUAUACUUAUUUAACUAAAAUUAUUUAAUUUUAAAUAUAUUGAUUUUAAAAUAACACUUAUUAUACAUAUAAAUAAAUUAAAUUAUUAAUAAUUAUUUAAAAUUAAACUUGAUUAAAGUUCAAAUUUAGACCAAUAAUUAUAUAAAAUCAAAUUUAAUAAAAACUCGAUUUAUCUAAAUUUAUUUAUUAAAAGAAUUAAAUUUAAAUUUAUGAAUACUUGACUCAAAUUUAAAAUAAAUAAAAUUCGAGUUAAAUUCGACUUUAAAAAAAUUUUAACCAUUCAAACUUAAACUCUCAAAAUUUCAAUUCAAUUUGGUUUAUUUACCCCAAUUCAUAAAAAAUUAUUUUAUUUUAUCAUUUUUAAUUUUAUCCUAUUUAGCAAUUCCACUUUUAAAUGAAUUACAAUUUAUAAUUCCAUAAGUAAUAUGUGAUAUUUUCGCGUUAUCGCAUUAUAAAAAUUAAAGUGUUUUACUUUAUAAAAACUAAAUUAUUUUAAAUUUAAAAUGUAAAUAAAAUAAAAUAAAAUUAAUAAGAUAAAUAAUCGAUAAAAAGUCAAAUUAUGUAUUUGAUUUUUUUUAUUAAAUUAUUUAAUAUUUAAAAUUUAUUAAUUUAAUUAAUUUUUAUCGAAUAUAUUUAAUUAAACUUAAAAUCUCUAAUGAAAAAAAAAAAGAUGCACCAUUCCAUUACAGACCUGGAGAGUAAAUUAUGCACUUGCUCUGUAGUAGGCAUUAGACAAAUAACUUUUCCACGUUGAAAGUAAUUUGAUCCACAAUAAUUCUCCACGUGUUUGGCAUGUGGUGUAUAGGGGAAAAAUUGCCCUACAAGUACCGACCAAGGAGAAAAUGGGAGUAUGGCAAACCUCUCAAUAGAUAUGUAUGAUUCUUAUUUAAAUUGAAUUUAUAUAAAUAAUAAAGUAAAUAUAUAAAUUUUAUAUAAGUUUUAUUAUUAUUUUAUAUUUUAAUUAUAUAUAUUUUUUAGAAGAAAAGCCAAUUUCAAAACUGAUAAUAUCAGAUUUGAAUUUAUAAUUAAUUAGAAUUUUCAUUAAAAUUUAUACCAUAUAGUAUUUAGCUUCUUUACAUUAUAUUAAAAUAAUGAUUUUUUAAAAAGAUUUUACCUCAUGAAAUACUUGUAAAAUUUACAAUUGAAAAAAUAAUUUUGAUUUGAGUAUCUCCAUAUCAUGUAUUCAAUGUGAAUUGAUUUUUAGGCAAAAUUGAUGCCGAAUAAAUUGAAAUAAUAUCAAUUGUCCGUAGUUUCAAUAGAUUUUAGUUUGACUCCAAUCUAAUUUGAUUUUUAUUUUUUAUGAUUUUAUUUGAAAAUAUCACAUAUUUGUUUAAAAAAUAAUUUAAAUGAAGGAUGUGUUUGUUUGAUUAAAAAUAUUUUUUAUAUUUUUGACAUUUAAAAUACUUAUAAAAAUUAAUUAAUAAAAAAUCAUUGCAAAGAAAAUAAUAUUCUCAUUUAAAAAAAUUAUAUUUUAUAUUUUAAAAAUUUUAUUAAUAUAUAUAUAUAUAAAUUUGUUCAUCAUUUUAUUUUUAAAUUAAAAUUAAAUAAUAAAAAAUCAAUUAUUUUAUUAAAAAAUAUUUUUAAUAUUUUUUUAUAAAACUAUUUUUUAAAUAUAAAUUAUUAAAUAGAGUUUAAGUUGCAAGCGAUAUUUAUAUUUAGGGUAAAGUGUAAUUUAGUCCCUCUGGUUUAGUGAAAUGUAACCUUUCGUCCCUCUUUUUUAAAAAACCUUUAAUUUAGUCACUGUAAUUUUUAAAAACUAUGCAAUUAGUCCCUCCCGUUAGAUUUUCAGUUAAAUCACCGUUAAUUUUAGUUAAAAAGACUAAAAUACCCAUCCUCUCUCCUUGCUCUUCCUCUUCUUCUUCUUCUCUUCUCCUUCCCGAUCUCCUUUCUUCUUCUUCUUUUUCUUUUUCUUCUCUUUUCCGAUCUCCUUCUUCUUCUUCUUUUUCGAUCGAAAAUCUUGAUUUUCCAUCUUCAAUCAUCACACCUCUGUCUAUAUUAACCUUGAGGAGCUCACACAUAUUGCUCUGUUUCGAUUUGCACUGUGCACAUUCCUUGCAUUCGCCUGUGAAUAUAGGCAGGACGUGAUCGUCUGGUUCAAGUUCUGUCACACCCUCACCAACACUCUCCACAAUCCUUAAAACCCCCCAGAAAAAAAAAGAUAAAAAUGUGAACAUGUGCUCGGAUCAGACACAUGAAAUACUCAUGGCAGAGGUUUACAUACCCUCCAGCCUCAUGACCAAAAAUUCUAGGAAACAAAGUGCUCUAUCCCUGCCAGCGUAGAUAAAACAAGAAUCAUUGUGUGAGAGAUCAAGAAUGGAUAAUUUGUUCAGAGCAGAAAUCUGGGGUGGAAUCGUCCCAGUGAGUGCAUUACAACUCAAAUUCAAAGCAAUAUCAAGACCUUCAAUAUCAAAAAGUUCCACUGGGAUCAUGCCAGAUAGUGCAUUGCUACUNNNNNNNNNNNNNNNNNNNNNNNNNNNNNNNNNNNNNNNNNNNNNNNNNNNNNNNNNNNNNNNNNNNNNNNNNNNNNNNNNNNNNNNNNNNNNNNNNNNNNNNNNNNNNNNNNNNNNNNNNNNNNNNNNNNNNNNNNNNNNNNNNNNNNNNNNNNNNNNNNNNNNNNNNNNNNNNNNNNNNNNNNNNNNNNNNNNNNNNNNNNNNNNNNNNNNNNNNNNNNNNNNNNNNNNNNNNNNNNNNNNNNNNNNNNNNNNNNNNNNNNNNNNNNNNNNNNNNNNNNNNNNNNNNNNNNNNNNNNNNNNNNNNNNNNNNNNNNNNNNNNNNNNNNNNNNNNNNNNNNNNNNNNNNNNNNNNNNNNNNNNNNNNNNNNNNNNNNNNNNNNNNNNNNNNNNNNNNNNNNNNNNNNNNNNNNNNNNNNNNNNNNNNNNNNNNNNNNNNNNNNNNNNNNNNNNNNNNNNNNNNNNNNNNNNNNNNNNNNNNNNNNNNNNNNNNNNNNNNNNNNNNNNNNNNNNNNNNNNNNNNNNNNNNNNNNNNNNNNNNNNNNNNNNNNNNNNNNNNNNNNNNNNNNNNNNNNNNNNNNNNNNNNNNNNNNNNNNNNNNNNNNNNNNNNNNNNNNNNNNNNNNNNNNNNNNNNNNNNNNNNNNNNNNNNNNNNNNNNNNNNNNNNNNNNNNNNNNNNNNNNNNNNNNNNNNNNNNNNNNNNNNNNNNNNNNNNNNNNNNNNNNNNNNNNNNNNNNNNNNNNNNNNNNNNNNNNNNNNNNNNNNNNNNNNNNNNNNNNNNNNNNNNNNNGAGGAAGAGGAAGGAGAGAGAAUGGGUAUUUUAGUCUUUUUAAUUAAAAUUAACGGUGAUUUAACUGAAAAUCUAACGGGAGGGACUAAUGUUAUAGUUUUUAAAAAUCACAGGGACUAAAUUGAAGGUUUUUUAAAACAGAGGGACGAAAGGUUAUAUUUCACUAAACCAGAGGGACUAAAUUAUACUUUACCCUUAUAUUUAAUUAAGGAUUUAAGGGAGUAUCCAAACGGAUCCCCAUAAUAUUAAAUUUAUUUAAAAAAUAAAGUUAUAUUUCCUUUUCUAUUCAACUAAACAAAGGUAAAAGCCUUCUUUGCUUUCCCUUCUGUCUUUUUCUCAUCCAUUCUUUUUCAUUUCCUAUUUUCUUCUCCAACCAAACGCAGUCUUAGUGUCCAACUCCACAGUUCCCACCAUUAAAGUAAGCGCGUAUCCAAUUAGGAAAUAAAAAAUAACUUAAUCGGUAACACGCCUGACUUCUAAAUUGGCGAGUAAAGGAAGAUUAUACACGCGAGCGAGUACCGACAAUAGGAUGGGCUGGCCCAAACAACUCUAUAAAAACGCCCUACCUAAGGAAAAGCAGAUUUCAACAAUACACAGCUUGAAAAUCUGAUUCUCUAGAAAUUUCGAUUUCCCUUCUCCGAUUUACGUUUCCUUUGCUGAUCAGUUCUCCUGCUUCAAAGAUUUCACCUUUCUAUUCCUCUAGUUGUCCGGUUUUUUGGAAAUUGGAUCAGAUUCGAGGGGAAGAAAUUGGUAAAAGAAAGAAAUCUGCAUGAACUGGUUGGGAAAGCUGGGUUACUAUUUCCUGUCGUCGAAUUCGAACCAUUGCUUAACGCGAUUGUUGAUAUUUUUUCUUCAUUAUUCUCCUCAAUUUUCUCCAUCAUCCCAUUCUCAAUUGUGUAAUAUAAAUAUAGAUUUUUCAUCGUCGUCUUCAUCGUCAUCGUCAAUUAGCAGUAAUCCAAUUCCUAAUUCUAACUUUGAUCGUCCGUUAUUAUUGAAUCAUGGAGUCUGGAUUCAGGAGUAAUCGCCAGCAAUUGCGUAGAGGUUUGUCGAUUUCGUUUUAUUCUUUUCGAAAUUGAUUACUAUUAUUGGUUAAUUAAUUUUAUUUGUCGGUGGGUCAUUAUUGUUUUUGUUUACUCUUUUUAUAUAUGUAUUAGCUAGUGUGCUUGAGCUGUAUACAGGAUUAGCGAGCUUUUUAUCCUAAUGCGUGCUGAUGGAUCACUGUGAACAUGUUGGUAAACUUUUCAAAUGUUAGAGCUAAGUGGGAUUAUUUGCCUUAUUCUUUUUCCCCCUGGGUACUCUUUAUUUGUCUUAUUUUUUUUUUUCUAAAAGAAAAUUAUGUUAUUUGGUUUGAGUCAUGGAUGAAACUAAGAUAAAGAGAAUCUUAUAAGUGAAUGAUGUCGUGAUGCAUACUCAGCAAAGAGAAUAAGUUGACGGUUGAUAGUGCCAAUUUAUUAUGGAUAUGCGACUUUGCAAAUAUCGAUUAUAAAUGAAAUAAACUAUUGUUUAAAAUUUGAUUUAUUAGAUAGCAAUAGUUUGUCGUCUGAUGAUUGAAAUUUUAGUUGCGAAUUUAUGGUGCAGCUCUUUGUUAUUCGAAUGAUGGGAGGAGGCAAGCGGCCUCGCCAUCUGUGAUAGUGAUAGGUGGUGGUGUUGCUGGAGUAGCGGCUGCUCGUGCUCUUCAUGAUGCUUCGUUUCAGGUAUGCAUGGCAAUGCAAUAUUUUACAGCCUUUCCCAUACCGAUGAACUAGUUAAAUAAAAGAUGCGACUGAGAUUCUCCUACCAGCAUAAGCCGCAUGAUAAACUUGCUCAUGUCAUGUGUCUGCUCACUGACAUGUAACGCACGUUUCCACUUGUAUUUUGGUUUGUUGGUGGAUCUUGUAGCUGCCUGGCACCUCUAACAUUGAUGUAGGCUCCAAAUUCAUACCGGAAGUGGGCUAAUUUGUUAUUGCAGCAAGCAAUAUAGGAAUGUGUUAGUUUUGUCACUGUUUGGAUGUCAAAUGCUAGUUUUCCGCAUGAAUCACCAAACAUGUGCCUAGAAUUCCACCAUAUUACAUAUCACUACUGCAUCUGCGUCAAUUACUGUGGGGACAUGUUUACAUGUAAAGCAUUAUUCUUGGGGCAUGCAUUCAUGAAUUAUUCAUAGUACUGUUCUUUGAGGUGCGACAAUAUGGAUAUGCAUUUCUCAUGUGAUGAUUUUUCUGUCAGGUUGUGUUGUUGGAAUCUCGUGACAGACUAGGUGGUCGAGUCCACACUGAUUUCUCAUUUGGUUUUCCUGUUGACCUGGGUGCAUCAUGGUAAAACUUCUUUUUUCUCCUGAGGUGUAUUAAUAUUAUUUCUCCUUAUAUAUGUAUAUGUAGGUUUUUAAAAGGGGUAGCUAAAUGAUCAUAUUCCAGGUUGCAUGGUGUCUGCAAAGAAAAUCCCUUGGCCCCUCUAAUUGGGAGGUUGGGACUACCUUUGUAUCGAACUAGUGGUGACAAUUCUGUGUUGUAUGACCAUGAUCUUGAAAGGUAAAUCAAUAUUACCGGUAUUUAAUUUUAAAUUCCUGAUUAACUUGCUUCUAUGAAAUUUGCCCUGAAAAUUUUGCAUUUUUUAAAUAUAAAUUAUCAAACUUGCCUUUUGUUUUAGUUUUCUGAAUUUGUAUUGUUUGUCAUUCUCGCCUGUUUGGUUAAAAGUUGGCUGAGGUUUAUAAUGCCCGAAUAGUAUAAUAUUUGAUUUGUUGAGUCCUAGCAUUGGGGUUUGCUGCUUUUUCCGUCUUUACUAUUGUUGGUUAGAUUUUAACUUGUUAAUGUAUCUUUGACAUUCUCAGAAUUUGGAAAAGUUUUCCAGUUUGGAGCUGUAUGUUGGGCUGAUCCGUUACAAGCUCAACUUUUUUUGCUGCAAUAGUAUAUUGAAUUUGCUUUUCCUUUUCAUUUAAAGGUUUAAUUGUUUUCACCAAGGUGAUAUUGGUUUUGUGGGUUUUUCUUGUUCUAUUUUUUUUUUACUGGAUAUACAGAAGCAGUUGCAGGAUUUGUAGUUCUAUCUCCUCUGCUCCACACUAUUAAAAGGCUAUUGAAAUUUCUUUAUUUAAUCAGCUCUCUGACCUGCCUCAGUUCAAGUUAGCAUGUGCAUAGCAUCUUUAUUAGUUGGCUUUAAUCUUUAGAUCUUUAAAUUGAUGCUUACGCUCAGUUAUUUUGUCCUUUUCUUAAAGUACAGACCUUCCACUCAUGAAAUAUAAUUUUGGUCAUUGCUUAUCUUGUAAUUAAGCUUUAAUAAUUUGUGAUCCAAAUCUUCAAGCGCCACACUCAAUGCCAAAAGCAUCUUGUUUUUGCUAAUGUGAUAAGUUUCAUCUUAACAAAUCUAACGCUGUGGUCAUUUGUCGUGUCAUCUGAAGUAUGCUUCGGUGGAAUUUCAGAAAGCAAUGGAGGAUCUACAUUUCUAUCCACUUUCUUGGUUUUCCUAGUAAUGCAACUAGUACUUUAUUAUCUUGUGGUAAAAAAUGGUCUUAUUUUGAGCAUGAUGCAUUUGAUGAUCUUGGCUUUUCAUGUUGCCUUUCUCUAAUGGGUUUCUUGUUGAAGAUUCUAAUGGUGUGUACAGAAGGCAUGAGAAUGUGGAGGGUAAAGAAGGAACAGAAUUUUGUAAAAAGAUUCCUUGUCCAUUGUUUGGGAGGCAGGAAAAAAAUAGGUGGGAGAGGGAAAACUGAGGUGAUAGUAGGAUCCUUUCAGUCCAUAUUCUUUUGGAGGAGGGAUAUGAGGAAAAUGCCUAAAGUAACGUUAUACCCCUAUUUGUUAACUUACUCAAAUGUCAAAAAUAUAAAUGUGAAUAAUAUCAAACAAACUUUCAUCAAUUAGAUUUUCUUGCCAUUCAAACCGUAGGGGCGUGGGCCAUGGGGGCAAGGGGUUGAAAGUUGCUUUAUCUUUGGAUUCUACCUUCAUUUCCAUCUUCUUUGGUGUAUUCCUUUUGUCCAAAUUUCUCCAUGAUGUAGUGUGUAAUUUCUUGAGUAUCAUCUUGGCACCAUUAACUCAACCAUCCAUGCCAAAACUGUCAUGGCACUAGCUUAGGAAACAAACCUGCCUACAGGUCUGCCAAUGGCCUCAAAGUAAGUGGUAGUUUGCUACAAUUGCUAUACCUAAUCAUCUUUAAAAUUGAGGGAAGCAAACAAUGUUUAUCAUAUUUCUUUAGUCAUUAGUCCUUGAUUUUCUUUAACAAACUUAAUUCUCCUAUUUCAAAGCCUGUGGCACUGCUAUUGCUUGAUAAUGUUUUAAUGUUUCUGCAGCUAUGCUCUAUUUGAUAUGGAUGGGAAUCAGGUUCCUCAAGAACUGGUAUCUAAGGUUGGCGAAACUUUUGAGAGAAUCUUACAAGAGGUAUUUUCUUCUUCCAUUCCUUCGAUUUUUCUGCUUUCUAAUUCUAUAAUGCUCUAUUUUCUUUACUACUGCUUCAGUUUGUCACUAGAACCUCUUUGAAUUUUGUAUCCCAUAAUCAUACUCUUCUUGUUUCUUUUUUGGUGGUGUAUUUCUUGCAUGUACAAAGAGAUUUGAUUUGCUAUUUAUGCUUGUGGAUAAUUCCCCAUGUCACUUUCUAAGUUUCACCCUUAGGCCACAAGAGAAUAAUGGCCUUCUAUUUGUGUUAUUAGCAUUUCCUUACUUUCCUUCAUGUUUCAAAAUGCAGACAGAGAAAGUAAGACUGGAAUACAGUGAAGACAUGUCCAUAAUCAGCGCUUUCUCAAUUGUUUUUGAAAGAAUACCAGAAUUAAGGUUUGAUGAGAAUAAUAACUUGUUGAAGUAGCUUAUUCUUCUAAUUCAUAUGGUUGUUGAACUCGGAACAUAAUUCAAUGAAAUGUUUCUACGGUGCAGGUUGGAGGGGCUUGCCCAUAAGGUGCUUCAAUGGUACUUGUGUAGAAUGGAAGGCUGGUUUGCUGCUGAUGCUGAUACCAUCUCACUCAAGAGUUGGGAUCAGGUAAAUUGUUUCGUAUCAGCAAUUUAAAUUAUUGUGAAUCCUGGCCAUGUGCUGUAUCAUCACAAAUAGAAUGAAAACAAACAAGAAAUUGUGUUGGAGGUGGGCCCCAGGCAUGUGUUAGAAUUGGAUCUUAUACGUGCUAAUUGCAAUUAUUUCACAGAAAUUUAGAAGUAACUGGUAGGUAUUUUUUAUAUUAAUAAUGACAUUUGGAUUCCCUGAAAUAUUGUUUGUUGGUUAGCAAUCUUGCUAUAAUGUUUACAGGUAGGGACAGCUAAGAAUGCUGGAUCCCACGGCAAAAGUGAAGUAAUGAUGUGUACAAUGGAAAUGCAAAUACAUUAUCUACUGUAUUUUACAAAUUGAUCCACACUCUGAAAUAUUAGUUCUCUGUUGCUUAAUUGAAUGGGUUAUGAGAGAUGCUUGCACAGGUGCUAGACAUCAUUUUGUAGCACUUCGUAUCUUGAUAUGAAUAACUUUAUAUCUAGUUGUGUCUUCAAACUCCCUCUUAGUUGAUUAUCUGUUGGCUUUCCGAGUCACUGCUAGCUUUUAGUAGACUUCUGAUAUUAUUUGUUGACACUGGCAUCAUUUCACCUUAUUUCAGGAAGAACUGCUUCCAGGUGGGCAUGGGCUUAUGGUGAGGGGCUACCUUCCUGUUGUAAACACACUUGCCAAAGGACUUGAUAUCCGCCUAGGACACAGGUACAAGUCAAUUAUGUUCAUCACUGACAUUUUUUAUUCUGGUCUGAUUGACACUUGUAAAAAUAUACUUGAAGCUUGUGUGUGCACGUACAUGCAUGUGAUGCAUGCACAUUUUGUGCAAGUAUAUUUCUAAUUAAUAUCGAUUUUAAUCCCUUCUCUCAUUUUUUGUUUUCUAGAGUAACAAGAAUUGUUAGGCAUUAUAAUGGUGUAAAGGUAUCAACUGAAAACGGGAGGACAUUUGUGGCAGAUGCUGCUAUUGUUGCUGCUCCUCUUGGAGUGCUGAAAUCCAGGGCCAUAACUUUUGAACCUAAGCUUCCAGAUUGGAAAGAAAAAGCCAUUAACGAUCUCGGGGUGGGAAUUGAGAAUAAGAUUGCAUUGCACUUUGACAAGGUGUUCUGGCCAAAUGUAGAGUUCUUGGGAGUGGUUGCAGAGACAUCUUACAGCUGCAGCUACUUCCUAAAUCUACACAAAGCUACCGGUCAUUCUGUUCUUGUUUAUAUGCCUGCUGGACAGCUGGCCAAAGACAUCGAGAAAAUGUCUGAUGAAGCAGCUGCCAAUUUUGCUUUCUUGCAACUCAAGAAGAUCCUACCUGAAGCAUCUGCACCGGUAAUUUCAGUUCUAAUAUGGUUUUGCAACUUAAAAGAGUUCAAAUUCUUGAGCAUCUUUUCUGGUCCUGUCUCAAAAAUAUAGAAGUCAUAACCCUUUCCUUUAUUUUUUUUUAUUUUUUUUUAUUUCAAUUGGUUUAUAAUGCAGAUUCAGUAUCUUGUUUCUCACUGGGGCUCAGAUAUCAACUCACUCGGUUCCUAUAGCUACGAUACAGUAGGCAAUUCCCAUGAUCUGUAUGAAAGGCUAAGGAUCCCUGUAGAUAACCUAUUCUUUGCAGGAGAGGCAACAAGUACGAACUACCCAGGGUCAGUGCACGGUGCAUUCUCAACAGGACUGAUGGCUGCGGAAGAUUGCCGGAUGCGAGUUCUGGAGCGAUAUGGCGAGUUAGACUUAUUCCAGCCAGUCAUGGGUGAGGAGGCAUCAGUAUCUGUUCCGCUCUUGAUCUCUCGUAUGUAACUUGCCUGGUCAGGGUGGCUCUAUUCUAUAGUACGAAGGUAAUAAUAUGUAAAAGCAUGUAGCAGAUAAAUGUUGAACAUGGGAUGAGGGCUGACACAUUAUUGCCAUUUUGAUGGGGGCAGUCUGGGAAAUUAUUGUUUCCUUGAGACUAAAACUAGUCACAUUGGUUCAUGUGAAGUCUCCCCCCUGUUUAGCAUACUUAGCAAUUAUUAUUUGGACAGACAAAACAGUAUAUUGUGUCAGCUUUGUGACUUAUUCUAAAGCUAGUUGAUAGACUUUGUCUCCUUAAAAUUGAAUUUUAAUUAUUAUGCUAUUAUUCUAUUCCCUUUCUUAUUGCCCUUUUGUUUAACCUUUGUUGAUUUCAGCCAUGAUAUCUAAUUUAGGCUAAGAGUCACUUAACUUUUAAUUUGAAAUAAUAUAAAAAUUUCUCUUACCCAUUAAAACCAGAUUUUCUGUUACAAAAUUGAUCUUAAUUAAUAAAAAUUAUAUGGAUUAUUAAUUAACCCUUCAACAAUCGUUAGUCUAUAUGAUUAACAAUUGUAGUUGUGGAAAUAGAGAUUCCUUAAAUAGAUAUUGGAGGAUUUUUUGAAUAUUAAUUUCAGAAAUUUAUUAGGCUAAAAAUAGAAGUAACAAAUCUCAUUAAUAAGAUAAAAAGAAGCUUAAGCCUUAAUGCAUUUCACAAUUACUUGUCUUUUCUGAACAAUUUGUGAUGCUUAGUCACUCAAACAAUAAUGUGGCUGAGCAACAAUUACAUAUCGAUCAAAUUUUAUAUUACUAAGUAUAAAGGAAAAAAAAAAAAUUUAAGUAGAAUAGUAUAAUUUGAGUUUUGAUCUUUGAUUUAUCAAAACUCAAAACCAUAAAGCUUUAUUUUUUUUACUUUUUCACUUUUCCCUAGAACAACAGCUAUUUUAAACUGACAAAAUUGAAAUUAAAUUUUAUUUGCAUUAGUUGAUCAAUUAAGGAGUAAAGUGCUUUCAAUUAAUAUUUACUCUAUUCAUAAGAAUCGAACACGUAAUCUUAUUUAACUCGAUCUCAUUAAAAAGUAAAGUGCUUUCAAUUAGUAUUUAUUCUUUUCAUAAAAAUCGAAUACUUAAUUUCAUUUAACUCGAACUCAUUUAAAAAAAAAUGACAACACAUAUGAAUUUCAAAAAAAGCAAAAAACCAUCAUAAAUAUAAAUCCGCCUGUAAUAUAUCUAUUGUAUAAUGAAAUGAUGCUAAAAUUUCUCUCAUAUUUUCCUGAAACUACUCCUUUCUGCCUCUGCUCUUCUUUUAAUAUCAUGGAUAGCCCAGCCUGGAAGUACAAGUAGGAAAAGCAUCCAAAAGAAGAGAUGGUCCUCUGAACUAUUAGGCCUUUGGAAGCAGAUCAUGGUGAAAGCUAAAUAGCCGGGUAAAGUUGGCUGCAAAAUGAGGGGAGAAUAAAGUAGACCAGUAAAUAAAUGAAUGAUCAGAAGGUGUUUGAUAUAUAAAUCCAAUGAACUGCAGCCAGUCAAUGAAUUGAGCUGAAGCUUUCGACGGGAUCAGAUUCUUCAAGCAUGGAACAGCUAAGUAUAGAUGAACAUAAAUUACAACAAAACAUACAAGGACUUAAACCUCAGAAUUAAGAUGUAACCCCUCUCUUAAUGAAGAUAUUUCCCUCAUCGAGCUUUACUUCAACUUCAGUCGUUUUCAUAAAAACCCCAUUUGCAUGUAGAUCUCCAACUUCUUUUUGUUCUUCAUUCUCACAGAACUGCCGAUUGGCUCCCCACCAUUUGUGCUCUCUUCCUCCUCUUUCCUCAUCAUGGAAAAAGGAUUAAAUGAACAGAACAACGAAAAGCAAAUUACUUGAAUUUUAAGAAAAGAAAAAGAGAGGGAGAAGAUUAACUCACUGAUCAACAAGGUGGUCUUGUAAAUGGCUGAACUGCAACGACAAUGCAAUGCAGAAUGGAAGAGACGUAGACACUGCUGCAGUGCAGUCGCAAUAUGUUGUGACUAGGAAGGUGGACCCCACUACACCAACCAACCAGUAAUAUCCAAACAUACUCCGCUUAAUAUUUUGUUUGGAAGUUAUGUACACAUAAAUAAUAUUAUUAAAUUGAGAUUUUUUUUUUCAAAUUUUAUUAGUUUAUUUAUAUUUUAAAAUCACUUAAUUAAAAGUUUCAAUAUUUUAUAAAAUCAAAAUUUUUAAUUAUUUUAUUAAAAAAAUUAUUAAUCACCUUGAAUUUUUAUAUUAUUAUAUUGAUAUAAUUUUGCUUAUAUAUAUUUAGUUUUAUAAUAUUAAUAUUUAUACUAUUUAAUCACUUUAUUUAAAAAAUAAAAUAAAUUGAUUAAUAAUUUAUUAAUAAAAACUUAAUAAUUUAAUUUUAUAAAAUACAUAAAUAUUAUAAUUGAAUAAUUUUAAAAUAGAGAUAAAUUAUUAAAUUUUUUCCUUAAUUUAGAUAACUAAUAAUUGUUCUUCAUAAAUUUCAUUGAAUAAAAAAUGAAAAUUUCAGAGAUUACUCUCAAAAUUUUAUUUUAAGAAACACAAGUAUUUUGUUAAUAUAAUUAAAUACAGACUCAUGAUUUUUUUUUUCCUUAAAAAAAUAAGUGAUACAGUGAAAUUGGAAGUAUCCAACUAAACCUCUAGCGUUUGGCUGAUCUGGCCGUCCGAAUCAAAUUCCAAACCAAAUAUUUAAUCUUUUUUUUUUUACCAAAAAAAAAGAGAAAAGCGAAAACAUCGCCCUCUUUAUUAACGCCAGAAUCCUUAUGGCCUUGGAUCUUAUGUGUCAAUUUGUCACUUCUGUGUUCUAUUGGGACUUUCAUAAGAUUGAUUUGAUUGGAGAGAGCAGUGAUGAAGCGCUAUAGAAAUGGCGAAAUCUGGGACUUCGAACACGAAACUCCGGUGUCCGAGGACCGGCCGGUGAUUUUAGGAUUGGACGGCGGGACAACAUCCACCGUCUGUAUAUGCAUGCCAGUCCUACCUUUCUCCAAUCCUCUCCCGGACCCACUUCCCGUCCUUGCGCGUGCAGUCGCCGGUUGCUCCAACCACAACAGUGUUGGUGGUCAGUACGUUUCUUCUGUGACUUUUCUAUAUUCAGUUUCAAAUUUCAAUUGCUCUGGCAUUUUGUUCAAGGGUUUUAUUUACUUUCUCUGCUGGCUGCCGCUGUUGCUUUUCUAGACUAAUAAGAUGGAGUAAAAGCUUAAUUUAUUAUCAUUAAUGGUAAAUUGGCUACAUUACAUGCUAUAUAAUGUUUCCUUUUGCAUUGCUUGCAUGCAGGACUGCUCUCUGUAAUUUGUUUAAAUAAUUUAUGUAUCUAUAAGUGGCAGCAAUGAGUUGUUUUGUACGAACACAAUGGAAUUUCGGGCCAGAGAUGUAUGUAAUGUGUGUAGGUGUUGUUUAUACGUAGGUUGUUAAGUAGUGAAAUGGAUGGGUGCUAUCUGAGCUGAAGAGCAUUAUCAUUACUCUAACAAUUUUGAUUCUUAGUCCUUUUGUAUUUUACAUGCUACAGAAACUGCUGCUAGAGAGACAUUGGAGCAAGUUAUGGCAGAUGCCCUUUCAAAAUCAGGCUCCAAUCGCUCCGCAGUUCAAGCUGUUUGUCUAGCAGUUUCAGGUGUUAAUCAUCCAACAGAUGAACAAAGAAUUUUAAAUUGGCUUAGGUUUGCUUUCUAAUACUGACAGUUUACAUCAUUUUCCCUGCACGCGCACACAUUAACAAUAUCUGAAAUAAUAGGCAAAUAAUUGUUUCCUGUCAAAUUAUGGAGUUUUAAGCUUUAGAAAUGUUUGAUCUAUAAUUCUAUACGUGACUCUGCCUUUUGCUAUACAUCCUCUAGAAAAUGGUAGGCCUUUUAAGUUUCAAUUUUUUGAUAUUGCUUCAGCAACUUAGGUAUUACAUGUUGAAAAUUAGUCUCCCAAUUUGAUAUUUCCAUCGUGACUUUACAACCUCAACUGCUAACAAUUGGCCCCCCCUCUUUGCCAACUCUUUCAAGUAAGUCAUGUUCUGUUGUUUGAUAAUACAUUCAUUUUGGUGUUACUGAAUUAAUAGCUUUUACAUGUAAUUCAAUUAUUGAUUUUCUUUUUAUUUUAGUCAUUUUGCUAAUUAUUUGAAAACAUUAUAGAGUUUGUGGCUGAUUUUGUUUGACUACAUGACAUCCUCUCCAAUUCCAAAAUAUGUUUUAUUUUGGUUUCUUAAACUCCUGUUUGCAACCCCUUUAAAUGUCCAAAAUUUUUACAGACCAUAGUGAAUGUUGGGGAGUAAAUGAGUCAGGAUGCUCAUGCUUGAGAUGCCAAAUACCUGAAUUUGACUUUGUUUUGAUUGAUUGGAGUUUGAACUCGAGUAGUUUGAGUAGUUAGUGGAGCUUCCUUCCAUUAUUUCAAUGCUCAAUGGGUGUCUCUUGAGUGUUGAAGUUUUCUUGUUUUAUUUCAUAUAUAUUUAAAUGAUAACUUAUGAAGACUAAAGUGCUAAUCCAAUAUAUAUUACUAAAUAAGUUAGUUCACCUAAACUUUUAAUGAAAACUAAUUUGAGUGUUACAAGCAUCAAGCGUGAAAGCAAAGCUUGAUUGAGCUUAAGUCAAGUUUGUUUAGUGCACUUUAUUGAUUUAACCAGCUCGGUUAUUCCCAUAAUAAAGUUUGGAGUUAAGUCCUUGAACAAGAAAGGUUAAUAAUGAGACCUCUAAGAAAACGACCAUGAAAUCAAUGCAGAAGUAAAAUAAUUUCUAUGAUUGGGAGUAUGCAUAAAAUACUUGCCAGGUGACAUUGGGAUUAUAUGAUCUAAGCACUUGAAAUAUGUUUGCUUUCCAUAUAGGCUUUAAAAAAUAUACAUAAAAAAAAAAGUUAGAAUUAUAGCUAGAACCAUGAUAAGAAAGACUAAGCAAGAUGCAUGAAAAAUUUUGCCUCUGAAUUAUUGUAAUUCUGCUCUUUACAUAUUUACAUUUUUAUUGUCCCCGUCAUUUUCUUUUUAACUUCAACAUAGUCAUUUCUUAAAUCUGCUAUAACUUGAUUUGUGCAGGGAUAUAUUCCCAAUUCAUGUUAAGCUAUAUGUCCAAAAUGAUGCUGUGGCAGCAUUGGCAAGUGGGACAAUGGGAAAGCUUCAUGGCUGCGUUUUAAUUGCUGGUACUGGCACUAUUGCUUAUGGAUUCACAGAAGAUGGUAGAGAAGCUCGGGCUGCAGGUGCUGGACCCAUCUUAGGUGAUUGGGGAAGGUAUAUAUUUGAUUUCCCCAUUUCUUUUUCUUCUCUUUCUCUAUUCUCUCUCCUGUUCUCCCUCUCAUAGUGAUGCCCCAGUAUAAUUUUAUGCAUGGCAAUGAAGAAAAGAAAUAAGCUUUAGUAAGGUGCUUGCAUUAAAUCCUUGACUUAUUGGAAAGCUCUUGUUAAGGUUCUAAAAGCCAGCAUGUAGUUGAAGAGCUUGGCUGGUAAAAUAACUGCAUUUUCAACCUUCUCUUCCUCUCAUUAAACUAAAUUCUACUAGCUUCACUUAUUACUAGUACUGGGUGCUUGCUAAUUUUUACUUUUUAAAUUAUUUUCCUUAUGGAAUAAUCAAGCUGCCCAUUUGUAUCUUCAAAGACCAUUUUGAAGAAAGUUAUUCUCAUCCCUUUUGUUAGUAUGAAUAAUAUUUUUAUUUAUCCUUAAAUGUGAGUAUGAGAGUAUGUAUCUUCAGAGAAGUUUCAUCUAACUGAUUUUUUGUUUUGCUGCAGUGGAUAUGGAAUAGCUGCACAAGCAUUAACAGCAGUAGUAAGGGCCCAUGAUGGUCGUGGUCCUGAAACAAUUCUGACAAAUAGUAUUUUACAGGAGCUUGAUCUUUGUUCUCCAGAUGAACUUAUUGGGUAUGCAUUCCAAGACUUAUCAGUGCCAUUUCAUUCUUGUUUUUCACAGUUAGUAGUUGUUAGGAUCUCUGAUGAUCUUCAAUACAUUGAGAGAAAAAUUGUUGUAAAUUGUGAUUUUUUUUUCAAUCUAACGGUUUUUUUUUUUUUUUUUCUUUAAGUGAUUCCUUAUAUUGUUAAUAGGAUUAUAAUGAAACCGCAUCGAUGUACUACUUGAACUGGACUUGAUUGAGAAAUUUGAGGCAGGAAACUUGACUUGAACUGAAUCAAGUUGUAAUUUUCAUGCAUGAGCUCUUCAUGAUGUGAUACUUGAAGUACUGAAAUAAAUCACCAUAACCAGUUUCUGAAUUAAGAUACCACAUGAACUCAAAUGCAUUUGAAUUUCACAAAUUAUUAUGCAGAUAUUGUAUAAAAAUAAAUAUAUGUUAAAUUCUAUAAACUUAAAUACUCAAUUAGACUUGUGAUUCAUUAGGUUUCAGCUUGACAAUUACAAUUCGAAAUAUUUACAAGUAGGGUCUUAUUAGCAUAAGAUAGGUGAAUUAUUUACACUAAUAACUUGAAGAUGGAAAAUAUUGAAAAUGAAAAUUUAGUUCUUUACAUCAAAAUAAUUUGAACUUGCAAGUACAGUAUUUCUUUGAUUGAUGUAGUGAAAAAAUAGGAAAUUGAAGAAAUUUCACAUAAAUACUUUUCUAAAAUUUUUAUCACUUGGUUCUUUCAAGUGAAUGAAUUUUGUGGACCUGUUUAUAUUUUUAAAUAUACAAUAAUUGUUUCUCUUAUGUAAUCUUUAAGAAUUACUGAAAAAAGAAAAUUAUGUUUCAGUAUUCUUACUUUGGUUGGAGUGCAUGUGGUGCUUGAUAAAAUGAAUACCAGUUAUGGAAUAACAUAUUGUGUUUUAUCUUUUGGUAUAUAGGUGGACGUACGCAGAUCCAUCUUGGGCUCGUAUUGCAGCUCUAGUUCCAGUCGUUGUAUCUUGUGCAGAGGCAGGUGAUGAAGUAGCAAAUAAAAUCUUGCAAGAUUCAGUUGAAGAGUUGGCUUUAAGUGUGAAAGCUGUUGUUCAAAAACUUGACUUAUGUGGUGAAGGUGUGGUUCAGUUAAUUCUUUGGUUUGGUUCCGAUCACUAUGAAAUAGGGAUAGAAGGUUCACUAGGCCUGUUGACCUCAAAACGCUUAUGGUUAUUCUGGUUAAAGUAAAAUAUGGUAUAAUUAUGCUGGUAUUUGGUGAAAAAAAAAAGCUCAUGAGCUGGGUAAUUAAUUCAAUGAUAUCUGUUUAUAUUGUACAUGUUGCAAAUUACAAAAUGUGGAUGAACAUGGUGAUUAAGUUUAUUUUUCUUCGGAUUGCAUUUUUGUCCUUGACAAUCAGAUCCAUAUUGAGCAUAUAGUGCAUAAGUUAUUAUGAUAUAGCAGUUCCUUCAGAAUGGCUUUUACAUGUUUCUGGACAGUGAACACCAAAUAUGAGGCGGUUAAAUUUUAGGAAUACAGUUAAUAUGUACUUAAAAGAAUUAUGGGUAACUAGAUAGCCUUUUAGUGUUGUUCUACCUCCCUUGAAGUUUUUGUAUCUUAUUAUGCUUUUGUGAUAGAUGGAAAUGCUUCUUUUCCCCUUGUUAUGGUUGGUGGUGUUCUUGAAGCAAAUAAGAGGUGGGAUAUAGGAAAAGAGGUUGUAAACUGCAUUUCCGAAGACUACCCUGGGGCUCUUCCAAUUCGGCCAAAGGUAACCACUAUUCAAUUUCUUCCCACCAUAAGUUUUUUAAUUUUUAUUUUUUUAUUCUUUGAAUGACUGCUCAGUUUCCAGCAAAUCUUCUGUUAAAUUUCUUCAAUGACAGUAUUUGAACAAAACUUGGCUGUGGACACUAGCCCAAAAAGAAAAUGAACUAAAUGCACUUUAUGAAUGAAGAUUGAAAGAAUUCCUACAAAUAUAAUAAUUAGGAGUUGAAAAUAUGUUUGGUUGUGUGUUUUCCUCAUUCAUUACUGAUGUUCUUUGUUCAAGAUGUUUCUAAUCUAUAAUAGUUAAUCGUUGAUCUUUUAAAAGAAAAAGACUUGUGAUUAUGGGAAUAAAUUUCGUAUAACCCCAAAAAAUUCAGAAAAUGAAAGGGAAAGGAGUACAAAAGUCGGUUGGCCUGUAAUAAGUCAUUAUGGCUGCAGAUCUUGUUUUCUAAUCAUUGUUUUUUUCAAAAAUGAACUAAGUUUAACUCACCCUAAAAGUUAGCUUAAAGAGGAAGGAGUGUCUAAGGCUUUAUUGGGGGCACGUUACCUUAUUUAAAACAAUUGUGAAAAUUUAACACACCCCCUUCACUAAGAACCAAACAAACCAAACAAUUGGAGCGUGAAAUGGAGAUAAACAUGGAAUGAAGAGGCUCUAAUAUCAGCUUAAGAAAAUGAGACUUACCCUAAAAGCUAGCUCAAAGGAGGAGUGUCUAAGGCUUCAUAAGGGGUGCACUCUCUUAAUCCAAACCAAUGUGUAAACCAAAAUCCUUAGAGACAAUUAAGCUAAAUGUCCAAUUGGAAUCCAAUAAGGACAAGUGAUCAUCUGUUGGAUAUCCUGUUUUAUAUAUUAAAUACAUUGGUGUUUGUGCUCAAGAAGCUAAACAUGUAUAUAUAUGGUUACAAAAUCCUGUAAAUAUUUUAAGUGUAUUGCUCAAAAAUUAUUGGCCUAAAACAAGCAUAUUAGACAAAAAGAAAUAUCGUGAUGCAUGCCUAGAAAAAAGAUUUUGAAAUUAAUAUUAAUUCUUAGUUUCAACAUUUAGUUUUCAACUAUAAAUUUUUGUUACAUUUCUAUUUAGGAAAAUACAGAUUUCCAAGGUACCAAAGCUUCUGGAUUUUAUUAAGACAUUUUUUUUCUUAUUUAGGAAUUUAUUUGCUUCUUAUUUGGAAGUAUGGGGAUCUGUAUUAUUGAGGUAUUUUUCUUGUUGAACGAGUACAAUAAUCCUCUACAAAUAUGUGUAAUAUAGAUUUUAUUGGGCUUUGGUAAUGGAAAUCGAGUAUUUUGAUUUUGUGUGACGCCGGUGUGCUUAAGACUCCCCUUCUCUAUUUCCACUGUCUUUUUUUUUUCCUUCCGCAAUCUUACUGCUACUGAAUCAGUAGUAAUGUUGGCUUCAAAAGGCCAUCGAUUUCACCUAUAUUCUCUCUAAUCAACCCUAAUCUGAACUCAUCUCAACCCGGAUCUCCCUUCUUCAAAUCUUGGCCCUAACACUCGUCAAUAACUUGUUAAUUUUCUCUCCAUAAAAGUGUCAGUUGGAAGAUUACUUAAUCUGUGCCUGUGAUACACCAAGAGUGUCUCAUUUUUUUAUAGCAGUUCACAUAGGGAUCCUUGUUUAGACUCUGUUCUUGCGACAAACCAUCUUUGUAAUUCUUCCAUGAAUCACUUGCCAAUUACAUGUCUUAACCUCAUGGGUGGGUUGGCUUAUAAUUUGCCCAGGGAAGAAGAUAGAAGUUUUUAGUGCAGCUUAGCUUUCCAAAUGCAAUUUACCUAGUGGGAUGCAAAUUAGGAGGAUACAUAAGACGGUAGAAAUUUCGAUCUGCAUGAAAAGACUAAUCUGCAAUUCAAGUUAAAUUCUUUUGUUUUAUUUUUCUUGAGAAAUAGUAGGGUCAACCUAUUGGGAAGAGAGAACAUUAGUUGUUUUAGGUUAGGUCUGAUUGAGAUUUCUAGAGUUCUAAGAAACAUUUGACUUGCAAAACUAGAAAUUGGAGUGCCAUUAAUAUUUUGAUAAUUAACAAAAAAUUGUGAAUGGCUAUCGAAUAUGGAAAUGAAAAAAAUUAAGGGGGCAUUUUAGGUAAAUUUCCUAGAGCAUAUAUUAUGGUUAAAGUUACUUGAGGACUCUUAACAGGAUCAUAGUUAUCCCACCCAUUCUAACGCAUGCCAUACAUGUGAUCUUCUUAUUAUUAUGCUAAAGGAAGUAUGGUUGAAGACGUGUGAUUUGAUCCCUGCCCCCCGACUUUUUUUUUUGUUAUGUGCAAGUAUGAUUUGGAUCUCCAUAUUUGUUUUGCUUCUUUCUUCUUUUUGCUCUAGACUCAACUCUGACUAGGUUUGAAUAUGACCUUGCUGAGAUUAAUUAUAAUUCGGAUCAAGCUUGAAUAAAAGAGGAAAGAUGCAGUAUGUGACAGAUUAAAAAAAAUAUCCUAUGAUACAUGUAUCUCCAAAUUAAAAGAAUGUUGUGGCAUUCCUUGCCCAAUUAAAUGCACUGGAGAUCAGGUGAAGCGGAACAAAUCAUGUAACGAGCUAUGACUAUGCAUCUUAUGAUUAGAGUGUAUUUGGCAUCGUUCCUAGAGUAGUUGUUUGGAAAACACCUCCUUAAAUAUGUUAUUUAGAGGCUGCCAUAAAUUAAUGUUGAUAUAUUUAAUCAGUAAAUUUCUGAUACAAUUAAACAAUUUUUUCCAAUAUUAUUUAUAAUGAUACUUUUCUAAACAGCAAGUUUAAACUGUAAUCCUAAACAGGCUUUUAAUUGCACAUUUUUUAUUUCGAAACGUGACAGAAAAUUUCCUAUGCUUCUUAUCGAUUAAUGUAUUACCUUAUUUCAAUUACUAUAUAUAAUAUGUGUUUUAUUUCUUGCAUCACCAUCAGGUGGAGCCUGCAGUAGGGGCAGCAUUGUUGGGCUGGAAUUUCUUCAUGAAAGAGACUUGCAAGGAAGAUUACAAAAGAUGACGAAGGUGGGUUGAGUUGUACAGAAUCAAGUGCAUAAAUUGGCCGUUCAAGCAUAUUUUUCUUGGUAUGUUAUAAGAGGACUCUAUUAGCUUAGGUUGAUUUUUUUUUUCCCCUAAAUUACUCCCCAAAUUGGCUUAUUUUGUAGAUGUACUUGCAUUUAAACGAUUUGAAAAGAAAAAGAAGGAAAAAAAGUUGGAAGUCUCAGUUUGUGCUGCAUUGCAUGGUAUGCUGCAACUGUAACUUGUAUUGCCAAUUUGUCAGCAUCCAAUAUUAUAUUGAAAGUGAUUUUUUGUCCGGGUCCUUUUUUUUUCUUUUCUUUUUUCUUUUUGUUUCCCAUCUCGACAGGACUUGGGUGUAUCUGGUGGGCUGGUUCCGGUCUGGGCUCGGGGGCGUUAGAUUUUAAUUUAAUUCAUUUAAAAUCGAUUGAAACUCUUCCAUUAUAGAUUUUUUUUUUUCAUUGCCAAGGAAACAAAAAAGAAGAAUUUAUAUUAUCUAUUAGAAAAUUUUGUCACAAAGUAUGGAAAUUAUUAUAUAUUUAUGUUUUAUUUACACAGAGACGUAAUUUGCGAAUGAAAUAAGAUACUAGAUUUGCAAUUGUAAAAAGAUGGAGAAGGGGGCUUCAGAAAUUCGGUUUAGGAGUUCAAAAUGUGGACUGGUCAAUAGUUCCAAUCGGGAUUUUACAAAUCCGAGGCCGAUUUGAAAUUAAUCCAUUAUUGGAUCUGCUUGUAUCUACGGCUUUUACUGAACAAACUUCUUCACAAGCUCUUCGAAAUAAUACCAAAUUAUAUUAUUUCUUCUCUUUACCGUUAUAAAUGGAUAUCUCAUUUCCCUCUUUCCUCGUGAAGAGAGAGUUUCGAGGUUUUCAAUCUCUGCCGCACUAGAUCUAGUCUGAUUUUAUUAUAUUUUUCCCUUUUUUUUAAUUAUCUCAUUUUCACUUAUCAAUAUUAGUAGAUUUGAAUAAUCUAAUACUUAAAUUUUUAAAAAGUGUUAAAACAAUGUAUGAUUGAUUUUUGUUUUUUAGUCUUUUGAAAGGGAUGCGACUUUUUAUUAUAGGUAAAAUAAAAUUCACUUUUCAAUAAGUAAUUCAAAAUAUAUAGUAAUAUAGUUAAAUUAAGAAGUAUUUUAUUAUUCAUAUUAUUUCAUAAAAAAUAAACAUAGAAUUAAUUUACAUAAUAAAAAAAUAAUUAAUAUAAUUAAAUUUUAUACAAAAGUCGCCCAUAAUUAAAUAUAAAUAAAAAAAGUGAAUAUAUUUUUAUUGAAUGGUGUGCGUAUAAUUUAAGUAAUUUUAAUUGUUUUAUUAACUAUUAUAAAAGAAAAUCAAAUGAGAGAGAAAAAAAAAUGAAGAAAAAGAAAUGCACAAGUUUCUACCGACAUGCCUGCAAAAACAGACACAGAAAGAUAUUGGUGUGCUGUCAGUCAUAACAUAUAAAGAAGUGAAAUUCACUGCUUUAAAAAAAAAAAUAAAAAAAAUAAAAAAGAAGUGAAAUUCACCAUGCAGUUAAAAAAUGGCAAGGCAGAUAGCAAAGCAAAUUAAAGAAUGCCGACAGGGUGCAUGUCCUUCGUAAAUUUUGGUGUAUAAUUGUAAGUUAAACCAGCAGAUGUCAUAAAAGGCGAUCAAUCAUCGUCAAACCCUACCUACACGUUUUAGCUUUCGGAAUCUUUCCUAUUCCCUCGCCAUGCUCCUCCACCUGGAAAUUUUUUUGCACGUUUUGGGUUUACGUAUAUCUAACAAUUAAUAUAACGUUAUUAAUGUAAAUUUAAACAAUUUUAAUUAAAAAAUUACUAUUUAAUUUUUAUAUUAUAUAAAAAAAUUUUAAUUUUAAAAAAUAAUUAAAACGUCUAUUCAACACUAUUUAUCAUAUUGGAUUAAUAGUUUUAGCACUGUAUAAAUAAUAAUAAAUAUUAUUUAAUUAAUAGGGUGACAAAUCAUUUUCUGGCAUUCCUUGCAUUACUACAACCACCGAUCUUAUAUUUUAGGGUUUCAAUAGUAAUAUUUUAAUAACCAUUAUGAAUAUUAUUUUACAAGUAAUUUUAAAAAAGUAAUUUUUUAAUAUAUAAAUUAAUUUUUUUUAUUUAUUAUAAAAAAAUAAAUUACUGUUUUAUAUUAUAAAUAUGCAAUUUUUAAACGAUUAGGAUUGAUUUGUGAUUAUAAUUUAAAUAUAUAAGACAUCCAUACGGUGUUAUAUAUUGAUUAAAAUUAUAAUAAUUUAAUUAUUUAUAAAAAUUAAAAUUUAAUUAUUUAAAAUUAUGAAGUUAAUUUCUAAUUUAAAUUUUACUCUAUAUAUGCUAUAACUGUCACUUGCUGUUGAACCAAUUGUUUAAGGUUUUGGGAUAUAAUAAUUCUAAAGUUCAGGAAAAUAUAUAACAGUUUAACACACAAAAUAUAUUAAUUUCAAUAAAGUUGCAAUUUCAUACUUAAAUUGACUUCAUUCAAAAUUUUCAAUGAUUUUACUACAUAUAAAAAUAAAUAAAUAAAUAAAUUAAAAUUUAAUAAUUUCAAUGAUAUUGUAUCUAAAAAUAAUUAAGUAGUUACAUGAAAUGUAUCCAACCCAUGAUAUCUUGAUCACCUAACUUAGCUGGGAGCCUCUCUGAUCUAUAUCGAGUUUUCUCCUCGAAUCGGAUUUGGGUGAUCCAUUUAAAUUAGGGUUUAUAUGAUUUAAUAAUAUAAUUUAACCUUGAUAAUUAUAUUCUUGGUAUAUAUAUACGAUUCGUUCAUUCCCCAUGAGAGCACCCGUUAAACUAGCAAUUUUGUUUUAAUUAGCAAGGUUGAUGGGAAAUUAAUUUUGAAAUAAAGUUGAUUGAUUAAUAAUUAAUUAAUUAACAAGAAAUCAAUCAGACGGUCACAAAUAAAUAUCAACAUCAAGCCCUAUAGGGAUAUAUAGGGGGUAUCUUAUAAAUGGGACCCAAUAAGAUUGGUCAGCUGUCAUCCCCAUCAAAUUGACGUGUACCUCAGGUUUCCUCUCACUCUCAAAAUCAUGGCAAGUAAGAAUUUAUUUUGUUAAGUUCAAAAUCAACCAAAUUAGGUUUAAUGCCAAAACACCAUCACAUGCUUAACCUAAUCUUUGUUUUCAGUAAAAGAUUAUAUGCACAGUUAAUUUCCCACUAAGUUCAAAAAAUGUAAAAAAAUAAAAAUCUAUGUUCAUGAUUUUUGGCUUUGCAUUGCAUGUGUGUAUAUAUAAAUUCAUGCAUCCCAAAAAGAAAAAAAAAAAAGGGUUGGAGAGGGACCAUUCUGCUUUGAUAGGCAUGUCAUGAUUCUUCUAAAAACCUGACAUAAAGCAUAUACCUUGUAUCACUUGUCUUUUAGGGUUUGUGUACAAAAAUAUUAUCAUCCACUCUCUCUCUUUCUAGACAAAUUAAAGACAUCAAGAACAGCAACAUUUUGUCUGAACUAAUUGGCUUGGAUCUCAUCAUUCACAUUAAUCUGCAUAAAAUUUAAUAAACAUCUCAAUUGACUACAAGCAUAAACAUUAAUGCAUGUAUCUAUGUGUCUGAAGUUGUCAUGACAGAUCUGAUAAAGAUAAGCAAAGUGUUGUAUCUAUUUUCAAAAUAGAAUUCAAGAUUUUUCUUGCUUAAUUCUAAUAAACAUUUUUUAUUUUUUAUGUUAAAUAAUAGUAGAUUUUAUUUUUAUUAUUUGACACGAAAUUUGAUGAGUGAAUCAUAUUGAUUUUAAUUAAUUGAGGGUAAUAAUGUCAAUUAAAAUUUAAAUAGACAUAAAAAAUAUUUUUUUUCUGUGCGAUGAGAUUCGAUGUCAUAAUGAUAUUAAUUAAGGGUAAGAAUGUGAAUUAAAGUAUAAUAUUGCUUGAAUAAUAAAAGCUUGUGUUGACAAAAUGACAUACAAUAAUUGUAUGUUUAGAGGGAAAACUUAGAGUUAAUGCCAAAGGACUAAUAGAAAUUAUAUAAAAAUUUAUAACUAAACUAAUUUAAAAAAAAAAAUCAAAGAUGAAGAAGAAAGAGAGGAUACAGAAAGCAACAGCAGAUGGCCCCAUUGAAUGUCUACUCAUCACUAGUCCCAUGAUGUGAACUCCAUCUUCCUCUCCACUGAGUCUCUCCUACCCUAUUCUUUUCACCUCUUGCUUUCUAUCUUUUUUCGCUCAAUUAAUUCAUCCUUUCUGCCUUACUCACCAAAAACCAUACAAGCCAAUCUCUCCAUUAAUCAACUUGAUCGCUCGCAGCAGCUCAUGUCUAGUGAAAGAGGAAAAGAUUUGGCACAAGGAUCCAAUGAAGACCAUCAACACUCUUCUGCUGCUGCAACUCCAAGCCGUUAUGAAUCUCAGAAAAGAAGGGAUUGGAAUACUUUUGGUCAGUACUUGAAGAAUCAGAGGCCUCCGGUGGCUCUUUCUCAGUGCAAUUGCAACCAUGUUCUUGACUUCCUCAGGUACCUAGAUCAGUUUGGGAAGACUAAGGUCCAUCUUCAAGGCUGCAUGUUUUAUGGGCAGCCUGAGCCACCGGCUCCUUGUACUUGCCCUCUCAGGCAAGCUUGGGGCAGCCUCGAUGCCCUUAUUGGUAGGCUCCGAGCUGCUUAUGAAGAAAAUGGAGGUCCUCCUGAGAGUAACCCUUUUGCCAGUGGCGCUAUUCGUGUGUAUCUAAGGGAGGUUAGGGACUGUCAAGCUAAGGCAAGAGGUAUUCCUUACAAAAAGAAGAAGAAGAAGCCUAGUUCAAGCAAAGGGAUUGAUGAAUCCAGCUCUGCCAUGCAUUUCUAGUAUCUUACAUGUUCAUCCUUUGCCCUUUUCUCGUUAAAUUACUAAUGCUUUUCUCUCAUUUUUCUUUGUGCCUUAUUGCUUAAGCUGUGAAAGACUCCAAGACAUUUGAUAAAAUAAUUGAUUUUAAUAUGUAUUUCUUUUGAUCUGCAUUAAUCAAACCCUCAAAUCACUUAUAUACAAGCAUCAUACAUAUGUGCAGACUGAAUCUUCAAUUUCUUGCAAGAUCUUAUUUUGUUUACUGCCAAUUUAGAAAACAGCAUUAGGAACCCUAGUUUCAUAUAUGCUCUUCAUAUAUAUUAGAGAUAAAUUAAGUUACUUGAAAAAAAAAAUUUUGAUUAAUUAAUUAGUACCCAUUACUGUAGUCUCAAAGAUAUAUCAAAGGCUAGCAAUGGUGACAAGGAUGUUUAAAUAUAUUUCAAAUAACAUGCAUCCUUUUUAGAUGAACAGACUUCUUGAUCUCUUAUUCAUGGAGAAGCUAGCUCGCUUGCAUAUCAUGCAAAAGCAUUCAUGAUCUAGUUAUAUAUAUAUAUUUGAGGAGUUUUCAUAAAUUUUAUAUAAUAUUAUUAAAUUGCAUGCUAAAUUUUCUCUAUUUAAUUAGCUCUUUGAAGAUUUUGAGGAUUUUCCUUCCCAUGAGAGGUCAAUUGAUAGAUAUCAUUUACUUUAUUUUUAUAGAAAUAAAAUAUGCAAAGGAAUCAAUGAUUGACACCCCCACAAUAACAAAAGUUAAGGUUUUCUUAUUUAUAUGGAUUUCUGUAUGCCAUUUCUGAUGUCAAAUAUCUCCACAAAUCCCAUAUUAGCUAUGUGAAAGUCUCCAACUAUAAGUUAAUUAAUUGAAGAUAAGUCCAUUUUCAACUAAUGCCCCACCAAUUGCUUUUUCUGAAAAUGAGUAUAGUGAAGAAGAUCUCGUUGGCAAGGGCAGAUAUGAAAUUUAUUAUAUUAUUCUUUGUACCUUGUAAGAUUUGCAUGUUGUCCAAUACCAGAUUUUGUGGGACAAUAGGUUUUAUUCUAUUUAACUAAUGCUAAUAAUGCUUCCCCUUUGCAUCUUUGCAUUUGUUGCUAGUGAACUUUUGCUGGGUCAUCUCAGAUUGGAUGAUUUUCAUAUAUAUAUAUGUGCUCCUCAAAAGAAUACAUCUUCUGUUGGUAGCUACAACCUCAAAUCUUCUUGUCUCUAUGGAGAGAGAGAGAAUCAAUUUCUAAAGGUCUCUACAUGGACCUGCAUAAAGGAGAUAUUAACAAAAUGCUUCUGCUUCUAUCUCCCAUGUUUCUUAUAUUUCUGGACCAAAACUCAUGAGCAAGCAGCAAAAUCACACUAGGGUUUCUUAUUACAGUAUACCCUCUUGCUUGAACAAGCUCAAACACUCGAUGGUUUAGUUAAAUUUUGUCUUUUUUAUUUUUAUAUACUUGAUCAAAACCAGAGACAAGUAAGCUAAUAUAUAGGGUUUCUACUCAUGUUUCAUUCUUGCAGGAUCGAGCUUGUUGUUGGAGAAUCAAAGUACUGAAAGAAGUUAAAGGGAGUUAUUUUCUUUGCUACCCAAUUGUCUAAGAUGAUGAAGGGAGGUUAUAACUUGAGCUGAUAAUUUCAAGAACUACUAGCUCUUCUCUCUCGAGCUGUUCCAGUGAUCGAUAUCAGUCUCUCCCUUUGUUUCCUGAAUUUGUAAGCUUGCUUUUAAAUUAGCAGAUCUAUCUUUACGUUGUGCAUUAAUUAUGUGCCACUGAAGUUUUCUCAACUGUAAAAUAAUAUGAUUAAAAUGCAUAUAUUAUAUUUUUAUCACUUCUUGUUAAAAAUACAUUUACGUAUUAUUUUAUAUUAACCCAUCGAGUAUUUGAUAAAUCAACUCAAUAAAUUUGUUCUUUUUUUUUUUUUUCCUUAAACUUUCAGAAAUAUGUAAAUAUUGCUUUAUAAAGUUGAUAGCAAAUAUCUAGUAAAUCAUAGAAUAGAGAUUGAAGGAAUCAUAGAUUGUCAUGACUUGUGUAGGCCUUACUAUCUGGGCAGGGAAUAUAUGAAUAAUACAAAUAUACAAUCAGGUGAGAGCCAGCAGGAGAUCUCGCUCUAUAUAUAUGUCAUCAGAGAAAUAAUGCCUGCACAUAUCACUGAAACAUUUAUGCCCUGCUGGAAAUUCUAUAUCGUAAGCAUCCAUAUAUAAAAACAAACCAGAUCGUUCAUCUAUAUAUGCUUUUUGUUUUUUAUUUAUAUAUAUUGUAUAUCUGAUUUGUAGAAUUAAGGCUAAAUAAUUUUGGGAAUAUUAAUUAUUUUGGUUGGACUUUGGAAUAAAGUUUUAAUUCAUAAUGUUCAAGAUUUUGUCUACAAAGCAUCCAUCUAAUCAUAUGCGCAGUCAUAAUCUCAAAAGAUAAGUUAAUAAGAUAAUAUAAACAAAACUUCUGUAAAUUUAUAAUAUUGGAUUUUCUAAUUUCUUAUAUCUGCCUUUUAUUUAAGAAUAAACAAUAAGGAAAAUAAGGAAGCCCUUGUAUUGGCAUUUAGUGCAUCAUCAAUGGCUGGCAGCCACAGCCACAAUCCGUUAAUCAUUGAGUAAUGAUCGCAUAAAUUGUUAGCAUAUGACUGUCCUAAAUGCAACAUCUACUUGGAAUAAUUUUUCCCAAACGAGACAAAGAGUAAGAGCAAUGCUUUGGAGAGAGAGAGAGGGUGGGCACGGAUCUCUUAACUCAAAGAACCUUGAACCAUUACCAUUCUCUUCUCUUCCUUCUUGCUGGUUUCCUUCUUUGCAUUCAAUCUGACGCAAACAACAGAGCACGGAAACGGAGAAUGUUGGGUAUAGAAGGAAGGAGCGCGUAGCAUUGAUGGCCAUUGUCGUGGUUGCUUCACUCGCCGUAGCUUGUUUGCUUGUGGCUUUUAGCUAUUACUGCUAUAUGCUUGACAAGCUCUCCAAACGCCCUGACAACCACACGAGUAAGUUGGAUUUUUACCCUUGUUGUUGCUAUGUGCUGAUUUGUAUGCGGCUGCUGAAAAUGGGAGGGAAUUAAUUAUUUGAUUGCGGAAAAUGAGUGCGAAAAAGAAAGAGAUUAAUUGUUUGGCUGCCAAGAAUGUGUGGAAGUGGAAAGAGAAGAAUGAUAUAUAUUUUGAACUUUAUGAUUACUAACUCCCCAUUCCACCUUUCUGUAUUCUUAUUUGUAAUUAUGGAUUCCGCAAGCUACUUGAACAUCUGGAAAGUGACGCUUCGCUUCGGCACUUUUGGAAAAAUUUUCUGUAUUUUUCUUCAAUAUUUGUGACUCUCAAGAAAGUUAGUCAGAAAAGUAAAAAAAUAAGUAUUUUUAAAUAUAUGACUUUCUUCCUUCAAAAGUGAAAAGAAAAAAAAAUUCUUUCCAUUCCACAAUUUCUUAAUAUGUCAUUGCCUUAUAUAUAUAUAUAUAAUUACCUUGUUUUUCAGCUUUUUAGUACCAAACCUCUAACUUGCAGUGAAAUUCAAGAUCAAGGAGAAGAGGAAUUUAGGUUUGAUAUCUAUAUAUUCGACAAUAAAAUUUAUUAAUUAAAUUAUAGAUAAAGUGAUUAUUAAAAUAAAUUAUUUUCUAUUUAUUGAUUAUUUAAAAUAUUAAUGAUGAAAUUAUGUAUUAUUAAAUAAUAGAAAAUUUGAUUCAGCAAAUACCCUUUUCAGGUUGGUGUUAGCUCAUCCUUUUAAUUCCCUUGAAAUUAAGUAAAGAUGACAAUUUGUACGUGUCACUGUCAGCACUUGUGCAUAAGCAAAUAUGCAUGUUUUUGUGAGUGCGAGGUUCUCAAAUUUCUGCCUGUUCUUUCUCCAACUCUCAUCUUUGUUCACUGACCUAUAAGGGGUGAGUUAUUUCCUUUUCUCUUUUUCUCUUCCUGUUUUGACAUUAGUAGAAAUUUGCAAGAGUUGAGACAUUUAAAUGAAAUAUAAAGAUUAUGCUACUUAUUAUUAAUACUUGUUAUGCUGCAAUUUUUUUUUUCUCAAAAGUAGUGAAACAUAGGGAUGUAAGAGGUGGAAAAAUCAAAAUUACUAUAAAAUCCUUCAUCCACUAAAAAGCGAAAGAAGAAAUCAGAAUUUGCGUAAAAGUACAAGAAAGAAGAAAAUUUGUGCUUUCCUUUUCUCCUCAAAUUGGAGAGAAAAUAUUUUGGGCCCCAUGAGAAUAUUUCGCCAUUACAUAUCCAAUCCCUUGCCUUUCUCUAGGCUUUCUAGACAAUGAAAAAUCAAUUCCCCUCCCCCUUUCACCGCUUCUCUUUGUUUCCUCAUUUUCCCCUUCAUUCCCAAACAAGCUGUUAUUGUUAUAUGAGAUGUCAACUGAAAUCUAUUUUACAUUCCUUUGUUCAUUGUACGAAUCCUGCCAGUUUUUCCUAUUCCAUGUAAAAACAUAUGAAAUGUGUGUAUUCUGCUAGAAACUUGCUGAUGUUUUCAUGACUUCUACAUAAUGCAGACAGCCAUGAAUUUUUGCUGAAUCCCUAAGAUUAAAACAAGAGCAGAAAAAUUUUAGAUAUAACUGAAUUUUAUGGCGCAAUUUUGUGCAUUGAAAUGCUAAUGAACAUUUCUAAUUUUCGGAUGCUCCAUAUUUUACCAGCCUUGAGAUCAGGACUCAAGCUCAAGUCAAAUUUCAUCUUGCAAGCUCAAGCUUGGCUCAUCAUCAAAAAACGGAUCAAGCUCAAACUAAUGCCUUGCACUUGAGAUUGGAAAUGCAGAUCAAAAUGCCUUGCACUUGAUAUUGACAGGGAAACACGUACGUUUGCGAAUUGCCCUUGAAGCCGCCAAGGGCUUAGAAUAUUUGCAUGAACAUGUCAGUCCUCCAGUGGUUUAUAGAGAUUUCAAGAGCAGCGACAUCCACUUGGACAAAAAUUUCCACGCCAAGGUUUCUUAUUUUGGACUGGCCAAGCUUGGACCUGACAGCUGGUGGACAUGUCUCAACUCGAGUGUUGGGCCAAGGGAUACGUUGCCCCUGAGUAUGAUCCACUGAAGUUUUCAGAGGCUUUUACGUGUUCUGCCAUAGAUAUAGUACAUCACUGCAUUUGGAGGCAAGGAUUUCAAAUGAAUGAUUUGAGCAUGAAACCCAAUUUUCAUAUGCUUAGGUCAAUUAUGUGAUUGAAAACAUUUGAGCUGGAUUUGAAAUUACAACUUUUAUUGGCAUUUCAAACCCACAUUGAAUCAGGAUUGUGAAUCAAAUUAAUCAAAUAAUUUAUGCAUUGUCAAAUUCGAAUAUCUCAAUUAAAUUCCUCCAGUCCAAAGAAAAUGUCAUUUUGUUAUUUUGAUGCCAAUCACACUCGUGUGUCAUUUCUAUAUUUAACUUUUUUUUUUAAUUAUUAUUCUGCUGCACAAGUGUGCAAGAACUGGGAAUUUAGCGACAAAAUCAGAUGCCUACAGUUAUGGGGUUGCUCACGGGCAGAGUUCUUGUAGAUUUGCAUAGACUUUUGGAGAAGGUGUCUCGUGUCUUGUGUGGGAACCUUGUCUGUUCUCAGUAAAUGAAACAACUGUAACUAGUUCAUUUGUUGGUGCAACAUUUAAUUAUCUUUACGGUUAGGACUUGAUCUACUUUAUAUGAGCUUUAUAAUUGCGUUUGAUGUUCACAUUUCCUUCAUUUAUUUGUUUGUGAAAUAGGUGCUGGCCCAGUUGACAGAUAGAGAGAAAGGUGGUGCAAAUUAUGGAUCCAGCACUGGGAGGGUCAAUACUCAAUGAAAGAGGUUAUUCAGGUGGGGUACAAUUGAUGCAAGUUGUGCACAGCCAGAGGCUGAUUAUAGCCUAGUAAUGGCAGAUGCUAUGCAGUCACUAGCCCACUGGUAGAGACUCAACGGGCAACGUAGAAGAUGGGAAGCUACUCUUAGCUUCUAUCUAUGCAGCCAGGGGCCAGGUUCCCUUCAUCACAAGACUCUGGCAGAACAAGUGCUUGAAACUGAUGAAACCAAGUUAGUCACCUGCAUGUCUUGUACUUGGUGUAGCUAUCUUGGAUUUUAGCACACUACAUCCUUAUAUAUCUAUCUAUAUAUGUAUAUUUUGUAUAUAAAUAAUAGGCAAAGCGCUGUCGUUUUUUACCAAGCACUUAGCAUUUGAAAGCCCUAUGAAGAUACUCCAUGAGAGAACUUGAUCCCCGAAAAUUGGGAUCAAGAUGUUCUAUUUUGGGCCAUCACAAUUCGACCACCUGUAGAAAGAUUAAUUGAUUUAAUACUAAGAGCUUGCUUGCAAAAUAGAAUUUUAUAUGUACAAUUCAAUUAAUUUUUUUAAUUGAUUCGUGUGUUUUAAAUUGUUGUUUUUAUUUUAAAAUAAAUAACUAUUGAAUUAUUAUUAUUAUUAUUUUUAUUAUUUGAGAAAAUCAAAAAUAGAAAAAUAAUACCAUAGAUUACAAUUUACAAUCUUAAUCGUUCAUAAGUGUAUUUAUGAUUUUAUAACAAAUAUAUAAUAAGAACAAUAAUAUAGAAUCAAUUAUUUAUGUAAAACAUAACAAUUAAAUUUCGAUUAAAAAGUCAGAUAAUAGUUUUAUUAAUUUAUGUGUUAUUUAUUAACGCUACUAAUGAAAAUUCAAAAUUUUUUAAUAUUGAUUAAAAUAAGUUUAAUAAUCAUUUGAAAUGCAAAAAAAAAAAAAAAAUCAGCAUGUGUUUUUUUUUCAAGUGGGUAUUUUAUAAUUAGUCAACAAAACAAAAAAUAAGAAAUAAAUAAAAAACUAAAAAGAGUGAAAGAAAAAAAAGGGCAGGGGUUGUUUCACGCGGACGAAGGUGUGGAUGUUGGUGAGCCAACCCCUAACGCCAGCUGGCUGUCGGAGAGAGUUCCCAGAUACCCCGCUUUCAUGCACGUGACUCUCCGCCCUCUCACCAAAUAAAACCCUUUUGCUUUCCUCAUUUUUUUUUUUUCUAAAAAAAACUCAUUUCUUCUUUUACUUAAUUAAUUAUAAGCAUAUAUAUAAAUUUUUAGAACUAAGAAUGAAAAUUGAUAAAUAAACAGCGAAAAUAAAAUAUAGACAUCCUUCAAUUUUUUCCUUCCGAAGUACAUUGAUUCUUAAGCAUUUGGCACUUUUGUUCUACUAAAAUAAAAAUUUAAUGAAUAAAUUAAUAUUUUAAUUUUUAGUAUAAUAAAUUAUGUUUGAAUUUAUAUAGUUAAAUUUUUUAUUCUGAAAAAUAAUUGUAUAAAUAUUUUAUUAUGUUAAAAUUAAAUGUUCUAUAUUACAAUAAUAUAGAAAUCAAACAAGAAUUUAAAAAUAAUAUUUUUAGUAUUUCAAAAUAAAUUUUAAGUUAAAAAACUAUCUAAAAUUUUCUCAAAAUCGCGUAUUCUUAAAAAUAUAAAUAUGAAUUUAAAAUUUUAAAAAUCCUCAAAAAUCUCUAACUAUUUUAUAAAACUUCAAAUUAGGACUUAAAUUAAAUAUUCUGCAACAAUUCUCACGUCUUAUUAAAAUACAAUAAUAAAUAGUAACGCACAAGAAAAAGAAAAAUAUUAAUUAAUAAAUCGAAUCCAUCUCCCUCUCUUUCUCAAUUCCUUGGUACUAUCCCCUGCCAUUCUCUCUCUCUCUCUCUUUCUCUCUCUUUUCUGUCUAUCUCUAUAUUUUACGUAGGGAACGUAUUUAUUAUACUUUUUUAAUCGGAAGAGAUGGAAGAGUGAUGUAGGGAUGAGUCGUAUUUGAGAUUCAAAUGGUAUUGGCUGGAGGACGAGCUUGGGAUUCUAAUUCUUGGAUCUGCUGGUGGUAACUCUUCUUUUCUCUCCUGCUUGAUCCUUCUUCGUUUUUCCUAGAUUCUUUUAGGUUCAAAUUUUGUCUUUUUUUUUUAUUAUUGCACCAAAUCAUGCUGGCAAUUAGGGUUCGUUUGUGAUUUGAUUCUUUGGAAAUUUCUGUGAACUGAUUUUGUUUCUUUUUCAUUUACAAUCCAGAGAAAUGGUUGGGCUGUGUACGUAUAAUAUAGGAAUAGUUUUAGCUCAUUUGAAGUGGCUUAGGUGAAGUGUUGUGCAGCUGCGUUCUUUUGUAAUGAAGAGUUGGAUCUAUUUUAAUAUUUUAUUACUUUAUUUGAAUUAUACUAAUUUACUAGCUCUAGUGGCAUUUGAUUAGGCUUGCUAAUUAGAUAUCCUUGUAAGAGAAUAAGGAUGUGUCUCUUAGAUUAAAUAAAUGCUCAGGGUUUAUGGUGUUGUACACAGUUGUCUUGGAUCGAAUUGUAAGGCUAUAUUGAUCUGUUUUUUGAGAGAGUUUGGUUAACAUUUCACUUUGAUGGAUGGAGGAGAUGGUCUAUAUUUAGUUGGAAAUGAUUGCAUAGGUUGGUUAUUUUGAAGACAAAUCAUAUAUCUGUGGAUAAUGGAGUUGACGCUAGCUUCAUUGUCAAGUGUGCCAAGGGAAGCUUGUUGAGGAUUUUAUAUUCGGACUCAAAAUGCAAAUAAUAAUUUCAUAAUGCAUUGGAGGAUAAGGGUUGAUCUUAGCAAUUUCUUUUAAUGCAGCCUUUUUACAUAGGUUCGAUUAAGUACUCACACAGGUACUUGUAGAUGUAGUUUCAACUACUGGUUAUUUAUCAAAUACAUAACAUGAAAACAACUUAAGUGUUGCUAUUUUUCUUCAGUACUUUUUCUUGCAUUGUGGUUGAAGUGCUUAUGCACUAAUUGGAUAGUAGCUCACUAGUAGAGUGUCCGUCUCAUAGUAAAUCAAGGGCUUUGUACUUUUCCUUUCAAUUAAAGAAAAAUGCACAAAAAUUGGUACUCGUGGACAGUUGCUUAUGUUGGUCAUUAAAGAUGAAACUGAAAUAAAUUUUGAGGGUUUUUAAUCUGAACUUUGGCAAUGUCAAUGUGCAUGAUUAAGUGUAAUUAAAAUGAUAAUAACAUGUGUGUGGCCCUUUUAAGUUUUUUUAUAAUUUGAGUGAUGAAAUCCCUAUUUAAUCUUAGUUAGAUCAUAAAAUAGAGAGCACGGUCUUACUCCAUUUAUUUGUUUUAUUGCACUUGUUGAGAGAACUAAUGUCUUUUGCUUCUUGAAAUCCUUUCUGAUAUGUGUUUAGUGGCAGUAAGCGUCUGGUUGGCUAUAAAUUUAACUCUCUUGAUGUGUAGUCUACUCUGUAUUUGUAUUCAUUUCUGGAAAGGUUGAUGUCCCCGUGCAUAAAGAUAUCUCUAAUUUGAUUUCAGUCUUGGUUUUGUAGGUUAGAUGGCCUCCAGCUUAUACAAGUUGGAGCAGAAGAGGUUUCUUGUAAGGUUCUUAGUUCUCUAAGAAUUAUUUCUUUAUUGAGAAGAUCUUUAUGGCGUGAGGAUUGGAGGCCGAAAUGGUUUUACAUCCAACAUAUUUAAGAACAUGGAAGAAAUGCAAGAUGACUCGGGGCCAACAGAACAAGGGCCUUCUAAUUCUAUGUGGUGGGGUUCUGAUUUUAUGGAGAAAUUUGAAUCUGUUUCUUUGCUUUCACAAGAAGAGAGUUUGAAUCAUAAGGAAUCACCUAGAAAUUAUGAGGAAGAUGGUUUGUCUUCACAGACUGCAUCACAAAUUCUUUGGAGCACUGGGAUGCUUUCUGAACGAAUUCCAAAUGGUUUCUACUCUGUCAUGCCGGUGAGGACUCAUAAUACCAAUUUUAUCUCAUUGAUCGUGCAUAUGAACUUUUGCAGGAUUAUGAGUUAUCUGAGUUAUUCUUAAGUGACAUUGGUGUGAAGAAAAUAAUUGAGUUGUGUUCUCUCUGUUAAAUCGGUUUAUGUACACUGAUAAUUAAUGAUUAUUGUUUAGAAUGAUUCCAAAUUUUUUAUCUUCUUUUUCACUUUGCAUGCGGACAUGUAUAAUGAUUUUACUUCUCUCUCUCUUUCUCUCUCACUCACUCAUAUUUUAUCAUUGAGUUAGCUGAUAGUAUGACCUAAUUCCAAACAUUUUGAUUUGUCUUCUUGAUUGAAUCAUGUAGAAACACUGGCAUGAAUUUAUGGAUAAUUCUUGCUUUUCGUUAAGAAGCAGCACAAAAAUUGGACUGGUGGGUUUUCCCAGGAUAGAUCUUCUUAAAAGUUUCAGCUCAGAUGCUCAAUCUAGCUUUACAAAUAUGUUCUAUUUUCUCAUUUAAAGAAUAAAUAAAGUUCUGAUUUGGCAAGGGAGUUGUGGUUCAGUUACUUUGUGGAUGACUAUAAAAAUUGUGGAAGGUCAAGAUUCACAUCUUUAUUUUUGCUUUCAUGACAGGACCAACUAGAAAUACUGGCACAAAAUUCAUAGAUAGUCUUGUUUUUUGUGAAUAAAUAACUUGCAGGAUGAAGUUGACCUUAUUCAUUUCAGACACAUAAUCCAGUUCUCCAAAUAAUUUAUAUCUUCCCAUUUAUAAAGUAAAAAGGUCUCAUGUUAUGUGUUCUUGCAAUUUUUUUGAACCUUUUAAUUUUGACGAUUUGUCUUGAUCUCAAGAUUUAGUUGCAGUUAUUUCCGAUCAGUCAAACUUGAAGUACAAUCAAUCUAUAGAAGUGAAUGAUUAUAUCAUGGGAAAGGACUUGCUCUUAGUUUUUGGUAAUAAAAUGUUAUAUUAUUUUUCAAGUUUGACCAAUUGGAUAGGAUUGCUACUGAGUUUUGAAUUCAGAACAAAAUUGCAGAUAUGAGCUAAGGUUGAAUUUUUCUUUUAACCAUUAUGCCAAUAAAGAAAGUGAAGGCUUAAAGUUCUGAAUUGGCAAUAGACUUGCUGGUUAGUCAAACUGUGGACAAGUACAAAAAUUACAGAAUUGUGGAAGGCCAAGGUUUUGUUUGGGGUCAAAUUGAAAGUUAGUUAGCAGUGAGGGUUUUUUUUUUUUUAUAUAUGGAUCUGCUUUACUGACUUGAAAUCUAGACAAUGUCAAAAGGUGUUAAAUACUGGCUUUGGAUUAGAUAUUGAGGAUUGUGUGGAGGUUAAUUGUAAGUUGGAUGUUAAAUAACUGCUAGGUCAUAUGUGGAUGGUCAAGGCUUUAUAUUUCUUUGGAAAGGGAUAGGGUGGGAUAGGCUAUGAUUCAAUCUCUUCAUCCUGGACUCCUUGGAUAGCUUGCUUUGUGAUAAGGGAGAAGCCCUUAACAAGAAAUGAGAUGAGAAGGGUAGGGAUUCCAGUGAAAGAAGGAAGAAGAAAAGAGAGAAGAAUCUGAGAGAAAGGUGAGAUUGUAUUUUUCUAUUCACUUUUAACAUGCCUUACAGACUAAUUCUCUCUCAAUAUAGAGCUAUGGUUGUUAUAUCUAACAACUGGUACGACUGUAUAACUAAUCCAGCUCAUACCCUCACAUUCUAACCAACAUCCCUUACCCUACUUAUUUACUAUUACUGCUGCUGUAACUUCUGGACCCUUCUUCUUAUGCCACUUUCUCCUCUGGUAUGUGACUUUAGUUGGCGCCAUUACUUAUAGUAGAGGAAUUAAGAAUUACUAAGUGUAAUUGGACACUUGUAGAUUCUCAUUAUGAGAAAGAAGGGAGUUUUUGAUAACUUGUACUUUCAUUCUAGUAAUUAUCAUUUCAAAGUGGUUGACAUGGGAGCUCCUCUUAGUGUUCCAGUUGGUGGUGGUGUGGCUCUAGAACAAAAUUUUUGCAUUCACAAUGAGAUUGAUAGUCUAUCAGUGUUUGUCCUCUUGUAGGAUUUCCUUCCCUUGCAUUGUUGAAAACUAUAAUGGAUGUAAUGGUGUGCCGUCAUUUAUUCAUUCCUCUAUGUUCACAUUCUGAAAGAGAACAGACAUUAUGGAUGCGUGGCUUGUUCUAAGUUAUAUUUCUCUUCCCACCUUAACCUAUUUUAAUUGGAUAUCUACUUGAUCUGAAGAAUUGAUUUCACUUGAUUGUUUUCUAAUGUUUUGUGAUUGUGGACAGGAUAAAAGGCUAAAAGAGCUCUUUGAUAGUAUUCCAACUUUAGAUGAGCUUCGUGCUUUGGAUGGUGAGGGUAUCAAGGCUGAUAUCAUUUUUGUGGAUGCAAAGAAAGAUAAAAAAUUAUCUAUGCUGAAGCAGUUGAUUGGGGCAUUAGUCAAAGGAUUGAACUCGAAUCCAGCUGCAAUGAUAAAAAAGAUUGCUGGAUUGGUGAGAACUUUUAUAACUUUGUGUUCUAAGAUUAUGUAAAUUGAAGUUCAUGUAGCUGCUUAUUUAAAUAUACUUGUGUUUUUACUGUUGUGCAAUUUUACUACAAUAAAAAAUUGAUCACGGUAAGGAAUUCCUUUAUGUUAAUGUCUGCAAUUGCCUAAGUGUGUGUCUGCUUUGAUCAUAAUAGAUCUCAACUUUCUUCUUUAAUUUUCACUUAUAAUUAGUGAAAACUUAAGAAAAGAACCUGUUGAUAAUAGAAUAUAUUUUUUUUCCUAAUGGUAAAAACAAUGGAACCUAUAUUGAAACUAACACGCUUUAGGACUUGUUUUGCACUUAUCUCAAAAAAUGUUAGUACUAAGUAACCCCUUUUGGCAAGCAAUUAAGUUAUAAGAUGAACUUGAGAAUCUUUAUUUUAAAGCCAAUUUAGGGAUUAAAUACUACUAUCCAUUUUUUAAAUUCCCGUUUGCGAAAUUUCAAUUAUUUUAAAGUUGUAUUUUUCUUCCUUUUCUCCCCCUAUUAUCUUAUUUACAGGUGUCUGAUUUUUAUAAAAGAGCAAAUGUGGAAAGUCCAGCAAAAGCUGCACUGGAAGAAACCUCCCACAUGUUUGACAAUCGAGGUGUUCAGUUACUUGGACAAAUAAAGCAUGGCUCUUGCCGUCCUCGAGCAAUCUUGUUUAAAGUUUUAGCUGAUAGUGUAGGUCUUGAAAGUAGGCUUAUGGUGGUAAGUUUUAACUUCACUUGGUGGGUUAAAUUGUGCAUUAUUCUUCUUUUGUUCUUUAUUAUUAUUAAGUUCUCUCUCUCUCUCUCUCUCUCCCUCUCCCUCUCUCUCUCCCAUGAAAUUCCAUAUAUAGAAAGAAUCUGCAAUCUAUACAAUUUGUGACUUGUAAAUCAUAUAUGAUAUCCAAAAAUCGAUGUUACAGUAUCUUCUUUUCUUUUACAUUUUGAAAAUUAGGGAUUACCAAAUGAUGGAACUGCUGAGUGCACGGACUCAUACAAGCACAUUUCUGUGAUAGUUGUGUUAAAUUCUGUGGAACUACUGGUUGAUCUUAUGCGAUUUCCUGGUCAGUUAAUACCUCGGUCAACCAGGGCAAUUUUUCUGACCCAUAUUUCAGCUGCUGGGGAGAGUGAUUCUGCCGAAAAUGAUUCUUGUGAUUCACCACUAGAACCAAACAGUCCUCUCUGUGGGUUUUCAGAGAGAGUGGAUCAUGACAGGUUAGCAGAUGGUGUUGAAUCAUAUUUUAAACCUAUAUCAAAUUAUUUUCUUUGUUAGUAUGCAUUCUGAAGCUGCUAAUGUUAAUAUGUCUUUCUCUCUUUCUCUAACUCUUUUUUUUUUCUCCCACAGUGCUGAAAAGGAUGAGAGCCUUCAGUUCCAUCGGAAGUUAGAGGCAGCUGCAAAUGUUUCAGGUCCUGCGUUGCGAAAUAUGAUGUUGCGAUCUACUACCUGUAUUGACAGAAAAUUGAAGUAAUAUUGGAAUUCAUUUUUUGAGAUUUCCUUGUUUCUAUUAUGGCUUUUGGAUGAUAUUUUUCCUUCUUUUCUUUCGUUUAAUUUUUUAAUUUGAUUUCGAUCAUAAUAUACUGUUUCUGUUCUUCCUUCCUCACCCAGCUUAUCACACAGUGAGCCCAAUAUUGCAAAUAACUUUUGGAGACGUAGCCGGAAAAAGGUUAUUGCUGAACAGCGGACUGCUAGUUCAAGGUUUUUUUUUUAAAAACCCUUUUUGUAUUGCAUAUGGAUUGACAUUUGUGUGGUGUUUAAAGUGUGAUAUAUUGUGAUAGUUAUCUUCUUAUUCUUGCUGGGGCAUAUAUCCACUUCUGUUUCACAUGCUGGCGUGCAGUUUUAUUGACUAUAGAGCUGUAAUAUUUUAUUGUCACAUAAAUGUUUUCUGAGUUUUUAACGAAACCGAAACACUAUCAGAGUGAUUUUGAUGAUACAAGUUGAAUUUAUUGGCCAUAAUGAAUUUGAUAAGUUCAAUGAUUUAAGUGAUUUAAUCUUAAAUUUACUUCUAAAAGCAUCUAGUAUUUGUCCUGGAAUGGAAUACUUAAGUUUGAAAUGAACUAUUAUAAGCUGGUUUUGUAGUCCAGAGCAUCCUUCAUUUCGAGCACGUGGACGGUCCAUGUUAAGUGGUGACAGGCACUCAAUUAGAGAUUAUGCUGAUGAUGAAGUUGCAUCAAGGUGCUUGCCUGUUUGAUCCUAUUACUUAAAUGCAAGGAACACUAUAUUAUUUCACAAUUUAUGGUUAUGUGGGAUAAAUUAUUUUAGGGGCUUUGUCUUAUCAUUUAUUUGUUAUUGCAAGAUGUGCCUGUGUUGAAUUCGCUAAAUUGUUCUGGACUAUAAUAGUUGGUAGUUGCUCCUGUCUAGUUUCAUGGCUGGCUCUUUUUUGUUUUCCGACAAUUUAUCUUAAAUCUAAGAACUUCUUUAAUAUAUAUUUGUAGCUACAAAUCAGAGGGUGCAUCGACAUCAGAAGCUCGUAGAAUAAGGAGAAGAAGCAUUAGCAUGACCCCAGAGGUUGGUGAUGACAUUGUAAGGUUGGUGCAUGUUUCAUUUCGUGUUAACCUUAAAUUUAUUUUUGAAAUUCCUCCCCCCCACCAUCCUCUUUUUUUUUUUUUUGCCGGGGAGGGGGGGGGGUGUUCAAUUGGGCAAUUGGGAUGCAUAUUUCCGCUCAAAAUAUAUGCCAACUUUUCAUUAUAGAUGGGAUAGGAAAUGUUUUGGCAUCUAUUUACCUUCAUUAAAAUUUUAAGUUAUCGUUAUGGUACAAGGCACCACUGAAGGCUUCUCUCCAAAUUAUUGCUGUAGUAGACUCUAUUUUUCUUCAACAUCUGUUCAGCAUUUUAGCCCCCUCCACCUCCUCCUUUUUCUUUAUUUUUCUUGCUAUUUGGAAAUGAAAAUAAAAUAUAUCCAAUUGCAAAUUUAACAGAACGUGGGAUGAAGGAGGUGUAAGAAUAGAUUUAGCAGAGGUCUUUGUUGUGAUAAUUUUCUUACCGUGUCAUACAAAAUUGAUAGGAAUAUAUAUACAUACAUAUAUAUUGGUUGAGGGAUGCUUUUAAAGGGAAGGGGAAAAGCCUAGGACUGAAUUGAAGGGGAUAUUGCUCAUAGAAAAGAACUGAAGCAGCAUGCUUGAAAUGCAGCAUGAGCAUGACUAUGAUGAUGUGCUCAUAAAAUCCUUGUUUAGCUAGAAAGGUGAGUUUAGCCGGAUAAUAAUCAGGCUAUGCAUAGAAAUUUUCAUACGUAACUGAGAUGAGAAUAUUUAAGAAUGAUGUUGAAGUAUAAUAAUGGACUAGAUAAUGGGUAAAGGGGUUGGCAUCUAUUGGAAUUGUUAAAUCUCACAUCAGUUUGGAAUAGUAGUCAUGUGCCCUUUACAAGAGCCUUGGGCACUCCUUUUGGGUGAGUUAGGGUUGACCCAAAUCUUAGGCCUCCUCAAAGUAUUUCUUGCUGCAGUUUAUUCCUGAGCGUGAGUGGAAUGUUGAAUCCGGUUUUGGAUAGGGGUCAUGUAGCCCUUGUAAGGGUCCUGCGCACUCCUUCCCUAACCUUGAGCUAACUUUUGGGGUGAGUUAGGCAAAAAACAAGAAAGUGGUUGUUGCAGACUUGCAGUGCUGGUGAUACUUCUCAUCGAGAUUUUAGUGAGGAUCAGAUCAGACGUGGGCAGCCUUCCCUGUGCUUUGCAAGGAGGUUCUUUCUGUUAUUUUAACCUGUGACCUCAAGUCAUAAUGAAACAAUCUUAUUGUUGCACUAAGGUUCACCUCGAGAUUCGAGGAAAAGAAAGAAAGAAAAAUGAAUCAGUACAUUGAAGAGGUAAAAAUUUUAGUGUAACAAUUAACAGAAAGUUUGGUCCUAGCUAAAUGAUUGAAAAGGUUCCACUUGCUGGCCCCGACUAGUUGGUCUUGGGAGUUGGAGUGUUGAAAAUUUUGAAUUUUGUUCAUAUUUAGAUUCCUAGUCUACUACUUAUCAAUCACUCCAUUUGCUGGUGCCUAAGCAUGCAUCAGUUGUCACUUGCUGAAUAGGUGAGUUCCCAAUUCUUUUUGGGUCCAACCAGAAUGCAAAAACAUGUGCUGUCUGUAUUAAUUAUAUCUCAAUUUGGACAAGAAGCAUUGUUCAUCAACCAUCUUCUCUCCUUUUAAACCUUUUCUAUGAGAUUUUCCCUAAAAGAUCCAUCCAGAGGAUCUUUUUCCUUGUUUAUGUUUUUGUUAUAGUCAAUUUGAAGCAGUUUGUAAACCAGUUCUUUCCACUUUCUAAAUGCUAAGAUACUUAGGACAGAAAGUGUGUGCAUAUGUAUCUAUGGGCCCAUAAAUUGGUUUUGAGUCCUGUACAAUGAUAAUGUAAUCCUGCUGCUUGGUGUUUCUCCUUUAUUUCUUGACAGAACCUGCUCAAGUGUGGAUUUGCUUAGUUCUGAAAAAAAUUCAGAUUUCUUCUUAUGUGUGAAGAUUAUUCAGGAUAUCAUGAAUUAUUUCAGGGCUGUGCGUGCAAUGAAUGAAUCUUUGAAGCAAAAUCGAAUUUUAAGGCAGCGAGGUGAUGAUGGGUCUUUUGCAAACUCUCCAGAUGACAAGGACAAUGGCCCGGAUCUCCAGAAAAAUGUAUGUUUCUCUUGUAAUUACAAAACUACAUUACAAUACUGGGUGUUAUCUUCGGCAUUGCAUAAAGCUUGUUCUAUGCAGCAUAGUUCAUGUGGAUCUUAUAUUUAUGCAGACAAAGUCUCUGCAUUCUGCAUCCACUAAGUACACUGCAAUUUGGUUUGGUUAUCAUUACACUUUUUAGCAAGACUACAUUGUUAAAUUUGUGCUUGAUAUGGAAUCUAAGAUAAGUACAUGGAUGCCCAAAUGAGGUAGCAUAUGCACACGACUUUUUAUCAUCUAUAUGUUAUGGCCUGGGCUAUCCGCUGCGACAGUAAGAUGAUAUAUGGAAAUCUUCUCGUGGAAACUCCCUGCAAGGCAAUUAUGGAUAUAUGGUCAUGAGACCAGGGGAUAUUUUUUGAAACAUAGGAUAUGAUAUGAGUUGGCAUAUCUAAUAAAUAUUUUCUAUAUGAUUGUGAUACUUUUUUGUGGUAACAUCAAAACAUAGUUGAAUCGGUAAAUUGGGACAUAACAUCUUUUUCUCAUUGCAACGAAUGUCUUUGACAGCUGGGAAAAUGAGGAGGAAGAGAAGGGGAGAGGGGAGGAUUUUUGUGACUUCUGAGGUGCAUGGGCAGUUCUUUUUUUUUCUUCAUUGCUUCAUUGUUAAUAAAUUAGUCAAUGGCAUCCCAUCAAAUUAGUUGCCAUUUUUUUGUAAUGCAUUUGAAAGAACUUUAGGAGGCAGAAAGAUGGGAAGAGUUACAGUGAGGUGCUUAUGAUGCUCUUGGGAUGUUUUGAUAGAUAGAAAUGCUGAAUCCUUUAUGACCAUGUUUUGGAAUGCUUGGUUGGACUGAAUUACAGGAAUUUUAAAGGAGUAUCUUUGAUUGUUGGCCCAGUUACUUUUGUAUGCAAUAGAUUCAUGGUGUCUUUUGUGGGAAUAAAGGAAACAACGAUACAGCACCGCAAUGACAAAGGGCAGAAUGAGAGCUUGUGUUCCAUAGAGUGAAAUGGUGCGGAUAAAAAGUUAAAGAAACGGUGCGGAUUGGGAAAGCAGAAAAUGUUGCAUUUCAGAAUUUAUUUAUGUGAAGUAGGAAAGUUCAAGAUUGUUCUAGAAGUCUCUGUUUGUUAGGAGUUAGUUAUAACAAACUGUAGUUCCCGCUUGUCCCUCUGUAUACAUAUAAUCAUUUUCAUCAAUGAGAAAACACUUCUCUUUACAGAACAGUUAUUUCCACAUCUUUACUGUGUUUGACAUUUGCUUCUUUUUCUUUUUGCUUUUAACAAUUUUUUUUCCUUAUGGAAAAAGAGUAUUGAUAGCAAAUAUUUAUUAAAGAUUGGGGACGGGAGUCCUUUCAUUCUAACAGAUUCUAUAUUUCCAGUUUGUUUUCCAGAGUUCCUUGAGUGUUGAAUUUGAAAAGAAAAUGCUUAAUAUAGAUUGUUUUCUGUGCUUGUAUUCUGAGAGUGUGGUAAAGAUAGGUUCCAAAGGAAUCACUUUUCUUUUUGGCUGUUUCUUAAUGAUUGUUACCUCUAGGUUCCAAUAUUUGUUAUACAAGUUACAUUACAUGAAAGUUCUCUAACCUGUGGUUUGAAUAAUCUUUCUAGCUCCUGGUUGUAGUUAACUAUGUUGUGUACCAUUUCAGGUAUCUAAUUUUGAUCUUGAUUGUCAUGAUGAAAUAUCUGGUAGAAGGUCUGCUUUAUAUGCUGUUCAAAGGGACCACAUGAAUUCCCAAAAGGCUAUAUCAUUGCCAUCAUCUCCACAUCAAUAUAGGAGCCAAACAUCGCAAAGAAGAGGACCUUCAGGUUAUGUGACUGAUGAAUUUGUUUCAACAUGGAACAAAGUUCUUGAAUCUCCCAUGUUCAAUAAUAAGGCUCUAUUACCAUUCCAAGAAUGGAACAUUAAUUUCUCAGAAUUAACUGUUGGGACUCGUGUUGGCAUUGGUAAGUUCUCUUCUUUUUUUGAUUAAAAAAAAUUGUUUAUAAUUUUUCUUUUAAUAUUCGUAGCUGAAUUUUUCAGUUUGAAAGUGCUCUUAUUGUACUGCUACAGUUGCAGUCCAAACAUACUACUGUCGGUGCUCUGCUGCAAAAUGCAUUUUAUGCAAGUUUUGUCUUUAAGGACCUCAAACUGUAUGCAGAUGCUUCACGCAGUGGGAAAUGAAAAUUAUCAUUGCCUACUUAUGAGAAUGAAUGGGCUGAAAAAAUGGAAUGAUAAUACUUGUGUGACCAAACGUAAUUAAAACUGUAUUUGUGGUUAACGAAUAGUCAUGGAGCUUUAAUUUUGUCCUCUUGGAGUGUAGACAGUUCAUUUUUUUACUCCACUUUCUAAAAACUGUCCUGUUGAUUGAGUUUCUUUUGCGGCAUCUAUAGGGUUUUUCGGGGAAGUUUUUCGUGGUGUAUGGAAUGGAACAGAUGUUGCAAUCAAAGUUUUUCUAGAGCAAGAUCUAACUGCUGAAAACAUGGAGGACUUUUGCAAUGAGAUAUCCAUUCUUAGGUCAAUUCUUGUCAUAUUUGUUGAUUUUAGUUUUAUGUAUCCUUGUACCUUUCUGACUUGAUCCCCUGUGGGUUUAUGCAUGUUUGUCUUCCAGCCGACUUCGACAUCCCAACGGUAUUCCCCUUCACCUACUAUUGUAGAAUACACUUUAUAUUCAUUCAUUUGAGCUUACUGCUAUUGACAUUCAAUAAAUGUGGCCUGUAAUUGUAAAAUUAGCAAGAUCUAACCCAUCAAAGUAAAGGGGUCAGUUUAUUUUUGUCUAAAUUGGUGGGUUCUUAGUAUAUGAGGCCACUUGUAGAAAUUUUCUUCUGAACAAAUAGUCAAAUGAAACUCAAGAGCUUCAUUUACUAUUUAUUGCUCCUUUACUAUUGACUGUUGCUGAAAUGAGAGGUUCUGGUUCUUGCAGUUAUCUUAUUCUUGGGUGCUUGCGUGAAGCCCCCGCAUUUGUCAAUGGUUACUGAAUAUAUGGAGAUGGGAUCUCUGUAUUAUAUGAUACAUUUGAGUGGUCAGAAGAAGAGGCUUAGUUGGCGGAGGAGGCUAAAAAUGUUGUGUGAUAUAUGCAGGUAUAUUAGCCUAUCCUAACUUGUCGAAUUGUUUAAAGGUUGAGCACUUUCUCCUCUGUACUUUUAGAAUGCUUGUGGUAUUUACACCUGAAAUCCAUUUGUGAUCCCAUCUUGGAGGGAGUAUAUUUGAUUGUUUCAUUUUCAGUUACUAACUUAUAUCCACCCUCAUUUUAAGAUCUGAUAAUCUAUUUUUCAAUAUUUGAAGUGUCCUGUAAUAAUUUCCAGAUUUUGUGUUAAUGCUCGACUGAUAAGGAGAAUUUGAUGCUGGUUUUAUGUGUUGUCUAGCUCUCUACUCCUGAAUCUUGAGCUUCAUGGGUAGCGAGAAAGAACUCUGAAAUUUUGAUGUACAAUAGAGAUUUAAUAUUACCGUUAAUGUGCAAGAUAUUGGAACAUUGCCUUAGAAUAUAAGUGGGUGACAUCGCCUUGGAAUACAAGUAGGCAAGGUGAGGGAAAUCAAACAUGCAUCAUGAACACUUCUGGUCUUUUUUCUGUAUCGUGAAGUAAGUGAAACAUUGUCUUGAGAUAAUGUGCUUCAUAGAUUUCAUACGCAUUCGUAAUGGGAUAUCUCCUGGCAUAUUAAUUCUAAGUUGUAAAAUCCAAACUGAUCAUCUAUUCAGCAGUAUUCCUAGCUAUCAUGUGAAGCGCAUGUGCAAAUGCAAAUGACCAGUAGAUCAAAUUAUGAUAAUUUGGGAGGUUUAUUUAAAAGUCAGGGUUAUGCUGUUUACUGACUUGUAUUUUCUGCUAACAACCAGGGGAUUGAUGUGCAUACAUCGGAUGAAGAUAGUUCAUCGUGACCUUAAAAGUGCAAAUUGUCUUGUGAACAAACAUUCGACCGUUAAGAUAUGUGAUUUCGGGCUCUCCAGAAUAAUGACCGAGACACCUAUGAGAGACUCCUCAUCCGCAGGAACUCCAGAAUGGAUGGCCCCUGAACUUAUACGAAAUGAGCCCUUUACUGAAAAAUGUGAUAUUUUCAGUCUCGGGGUGAUAAUGUGGGAGCUCUGCACCCUGAAUAGACCAUGGGAAGGAGUGCCGCCAGAAAGGGUACACAUGAUUUUUUCCAUUUUGUAAUCAUAUGUUGUUCAUGCGUUAGUUAUUUGAGACAUCUUUUGAAAUGCAUGAAGUUUCAAACUCAUUUGGUUCUUUGCCGUUCAGGUAGUUUAUGCUGUUGCAAAUGAGGGAUCCCGUUUGGAGAUUCCUGAAGGGCCACUGGGCAGGUUAAUUUCAGGUAUUCAUGACAACUGAGAUUAAGAAUGAUUGUUAGAACUGGAUGCCUCUUUCAUUGUCUUGCAUCACGGCAUGUGGAUUGGUCCCUCUUUCCCAUGUUCUCAUUUUCCCUUCAUUUUUCUGUCCUUUAAACUACAUGCAUUAUUAAUAAAAGCUCAUUUUAGUCGGCUAUAAAUUAUUUCUACAAUUUUCUAUUUGUAACUGCUGACUUUUGUUGUCAUCUUGAUUUGGAGAUUGUUGGGCAGAACCACAUGAACGGCCAAGCUGUGAAGAGAUACUUUCCCGUUUGCUCGACUGCGAGUACACGCUCUGCUGAUAGUCUUUUUCUUUAUGUAUAGAAAAAACAUGGUAGAGGGUUUGCAAUGUGUUUCGGCUAAAUUGUAUACUGCUUGAUUUUCUGUAAUUGUGAAAACAUCAAACGCUUCAAUUUUCGAAUUUCAAUGGAACCACUGAAUCUUUCUGUGCAAAUGAAAAGGAAGGAAAUGCUUUUUGUCAAUUUUAACUGGUGGAACUUGCAUUUUUUUGUUUGGUUUCUUUCUAUUUGCAUGAAACUCGAAAAAAGAAUAAAUAGCUAAGCAUGAGUUCGGUCUUUCUCAAAGUUCAGCUCCCAACAAAUUUGAAAGCUUUCCGUUUUGCUUUUGAUGGUGAGCUUGUAUUUGACCAUUUACAUUCUUUAAUCGAGAAUAUGACUCCUAUUACAGCAUCUUCAAACCCCGGCUGCAUGAAUCUACUUGUAUUUCUUUGCUCAUCAUUCUCAGAUGCUGGAUACUGGAUAUUAGUCUUCUCCGAGCUGGACGUCCCGCAGGUUUAGGAUUCGGACAAGGAUCCGUAUAAAACGCACAUGCAUAUGACCUGUUUCAUGGAUAAAAUGUGAGACAUUCUGCGAGCAACCCAGGACCGGGAAGGGACAGAUUGCUUCCGCCGACUUCUGCGUCUUGUGGAGGCCAAUAACUAAGCUCACCGAGGCUUAAUAAAAGCCUCUCCCACAAGCUCAAAUCCAUUUGUCCAGAAGGGGAAAUUAAUGCCAAGCCUACGGUGUCGUUGCAAUCCAUCUUUGACAGCUGGGAUAUUGAACAAGGUAGCUCAACCCAAAUGCAGGCUAUGAUGGUUUGUGUUCAACCGUACCCAAAUCUCCUCUCAAUUAGGACUAAGUCUCCUUUUCCGAUACCGAGUGGGUUUCAGAGCUCGCAGAGUUGGUACAGCAUCACGAUCAUUGCAAGCAGAUAUUUCUCAACGAUACCUAAAGCAAGCACGUCAUUGUCAUCAUCCCCCUCAUUGUAAUCUUCUUACAACCUUCAACUUCAAACUUUUUUCCCAUCUACAACAUCCUUUUCUUUUUCUAUCAAACCCAAGUCCGUCAAAUCUGCAGACUUCUUGAUCGACAAUAACUAAAGCCCUGCACACAACGCAACCCCAUCAAGCUGCGACGGCCAUGCAAAUAUCAUGGAAUUAUUCUAACCUCAGUACUGCCCCCUUUGGACUUCCAACUCUUACAAACACGAAGAAUCAGCUCUUCAAGAAUGGAAGCCUGAGGAAAAAAAGAAUCCGCUGAACUCUUGCAUUCUCCACAGCAUACUCUUCAUCCUCAAGAUCAUUCCUCGUGUUCCCAACGACGACAUUAUCAACCAGAUGAAGAAUUGAUAAUUUGGGACAAUUGAGCAAUCUGGAGCAAUUUCUUGUCUUCAAUGAAUCCAACUAAAAGUUCGUGAGAUUUGCACAGGCAGUCAGUAAUUGCUUGAAUCUCGUAUGCCUUGAAUCUAUCAAUUUAUGAACCAAACUUGUGAAGGACAUGGAAAUAUCAAGAUAAGCAUGGGCGAGAGUGUUUGGUUGAAAUCAAAAACAUUAAUGUAACUGAAUUAAUUUAAAAUUUUGAUUUAAUUUUUUAUUCAUAUUGAUUUGGUUCGAUUUUUAAUUUUAAAAAUUUUGAUUACUUUUAGUUUGAUUCAAUGUAAUCAGAAAAAAAUUUAAAAAAUCAAACCAAAUUUAUUAAUGAUAACAUUAUAUCAUUUUCAAUAAUAUAGAUUAUAUUAAAAUUAAAAUAUUUUAAUUAAAUUUUAAAAUAUUAAAAUGUAAAAAGUAAAAAAUUUAUUAAAAAUUUAAAUCGAUUAAACCGAAAUUGAUUCAGUUCGAUUUGAUUUUUAUCAAAAUCAAUUUGAUUUAAUUUUUAUAAAUAUUAAAAUUUUAAUUUUUAAUUUAUUCAAUUUGAUUUAAAUCCGAUUGAAUGUCAACUCCAAAUAGCGUUGAGAUAUGGGGGACGACCCGGCAUAAGAAAUUUGAGAGGAGUAAGUCAGAAUAACGGAGCAAAAUCUGCUACCGUAUGAGGUGACUACGGCCAUUGAUGCCACUAGACGGGCCUCAAAUUGCCAAUUGCAGCAUAAUGUGCAUAGUAGCGGAGAUCGACCAUCAACGUAAGUAGAGGAAUCACAACGCCGAGGCAGUCCUCCAAGGACUGCGGUGAGGGAGCGAGCGAGCAAAGUAUGCCCCACUAGAAACUAGAGAAAGGUCAAAGUGAAUGGUACAAAAUAAGUCGAAAUCACUUGAAUGGCAGAAUUUAUUUAUAACACUGGAAUAACGUAAAAUGACAAUAAUGGUCCCACAAAAUUUGUUAUCUUCAUUCCAUCAUCCCAUGUAGUUGUCCUAUCCUAACCAUUCGACCAUAAGGGUCCAACUAUACAUGCAUUAGACCGUGAUAGAGGCGCGCGUGGCACUCUCAAUAGUUGAAACUUGCAGUUUUUCUUUUUCCUCAGAAGAAUUUGGAGUUAACUAAAGAAAGACUUUUCGACGAAAAACAAAAAAAAAAACUAAAGAAAGAAUUAUGUUUCGUAUGACGACGACAAGUGUAAAUAAAAAAGGUGAGCAGUGGCAAGGACGCACAAUAUUUUCUGUAAUCGAUUUAAAAAGACAAACAAAGAAAUAAAUCACUUUGUUCAAAUUACUGAAAAAUUUUCACCAGUUUUUUUAAUAAAUAAAUUGAUAAGACUAUAAGUCGAUAUGAAAUAAAUUUUUAGAAUCUGAAUGCAUAUGAGUUGGAAAAUCCAGAUCCAAGUGCUUGGUUUUGAGAAUACCACUCAACUCUAAAAAGCAUUCCAGAACAUUAGCGUGUUAAGGCAUUGGCACAAUGGUGAACAUAUCUUCCCAGGAGCAUGGAACAAAGAUACAUUUUGCCCUGUUAUCUGCGAGCAUAGCAUUCUUAUGGCCUUGAAACUUAAAAUCUGUCCCUCCUAUGCAUUUUUCACCUAAAGUUAACUGGAAAAUUUCUAUAAAAAGAAUUAUAGUGAUCAAAAGUAUGGAAAAUGAGAUAAUCAGUUAUCCAACCAGCUUUCAUUAUUUACAUGUUUAUCAACAAAACAAACAAACAAAAAUCAAAUACAAGACAAGAUGCAAGUUGAUUCAUGCUUUCUCAUGUCUCACUCGAUAGAGGCUAGCUUGUCCUCAUCCACUUCAAAAGCCUUCCUUGCUUGUUUCAGCUCCUCUUGCAUAGAUAGAAGUUCCGAACAUCGGUUAAGUUUUGGUAGGUCCUGCAAUGUUCAACAUAUCAACCAUUCUUAAGUACAAAGAAUGGAAGUUCGGACUACAAUUGCUAAUACACAUAUCUAAACCAACAAAAAACAUGGACUGGGCAAGAUAUAUGAGACAAAAGCUGCUAAAUGUCUAAGCAGUUCAAAUGCAUUAAUUGAAAGAAUAGGCUUAAAUCCGUUUCCAUCCACAGCACAGGCUUUAUCAGAUAUGUAACUGUAGCUAGCAUUAUGAUCCAUGGAAGUGUUACAAUUUAGCUAGCAUUCACAGAUUCUGCACGUUACAGUUAAAGCAUGGCUGCAACUUGCAAACACCCCAUUCCCACUCUCCAUCUCCUUUGACACAAAUGAAAAAGGCAAUGCAACUGAGUGAUAGUAUACUAAUAGACCAACUGUUAGCACGUACAGUCAAAACUUGCAUGGUAGUAUAUGGUAUUUAGGGGCAUAACAGGAAAAGAAUAAAUUAAAAUGCAGAGCAAAAUUUCCCACAAGGUGAAAUUACAAAUGAUGAAAUUUCAGUGGUCAUAAUACCUUGCGAAUUAAGUAGAGAAAAUCUUCAACUGCAAGCUUUCCCCUCUUUGAUCCUAUAUCUUGGGCUUUAUGUGCCUGCAGAAAGUUAGUAAACAGUUUUAACACCCACCAUAUCCUCUUGCUUAUGAUUCAUACCAACAUAGAAGAAUGCUUACCAAAUCUGUUACAUACUCCACGACGAUAUCCUCCACAAGUGCCACGGUUUCAGGAAGAGGCUGAUUAGGCAGUAAAAGCAAUUCACAAUUGUAUUGAAAGUAAAACAAAACAAUCUAACAUGCAGAAACUUGGCAACACUUAUACUGAGAUAUCUAAUGUAGAUAAUAAACGAAAUGGUUGUUUGAUUAUGACAAUACAACAAAAAAAAAAUUGCAUAACUAAAAGAAAGAGUUGAAUACAACGACAGCAGAAGAUUGGUAAUUUUAGCCAUACAUGAAAUGUUGUGCGUGUAUCCAGUUAACCAAUUAGAAUAACAUCUUAGAAAAUAGCAACCUUCCUUUUCUUAUUCCUUUCCUUUUGUCAAGGUUAGAGAUCAUCUGUUGUUUAAAAAAAUCCCCACUUUAAAAGCAGACAAACAUUUUCAAAGUGUUGUUAUCUGCUUUAGGGUUUAAAAGACUAAAUAUUACUGAAAAAACAAUUUUUAUUGCUCUCAGUUCAACAUAUUUGCUUCUCUUAGUAGCAACUCUAAUAGAAAUGUCAAACAACUCCAAGUGUAACGGGAACAAAACCUGUUAUAGUAAAAUAUGUUAUGUAAAUGGUGCUACUUACAUUAGGAUCGUCUCCAAAACCAUACAUCAUGUGCUGCACUGUAGCAUGACAAACAUGAAGAAAAAUUAAUAUAAAAACCAUGAUGAAAGUCGCACAGCAAAAGUUACUCGGCACUUACAGUCUUUCUGAAAGACUCCUCGCUUUCGCUUAAAUGAAGUUUCAUUAGGUUGUGAGGAUCCAACUUUAGAUUUCAAUGAAGGUCCAGCAGAUGAGCUGUUCAUCUUCUAUGUGUGCUUAUUUUCUCUUAAAUUAUCUGCAAAAGAAAUCAAUUUAUCUUCAGCAGUCAAUCAAAUGCUAUAUCCAAAUGACAAAAAAAAAAUUGGACACGAGCUUAAACCGAAAAAUGAAUCUAAAUCGAGGACGACCGUCUGAACAACAUAACAAUUAAAUGGAAUCCUAAUUUGGAAAAAUGGAGAAAGAAUUGUAUCAAACUGACAAAAAAAUUUUUGAAGCAAAUAAAGAUGAACAGGUCAAGAUCGAGAGUACAAGAGUGGAGAGUAAUGAUUACCACCCGCCGGUGGUGGCUAAUCGGNNNNNNNNNNNNNNNNNNNNNNNNNNNNNNNNNNNNNNNNNNNNNNNNNNNNNNNNNNNNNNNNNNNNNNNNNNNNNNNNNNNNNNNNNNNNNNNNNNNNNNNNNNNNNNNNNNNNNNNNNNNNNNNNNNNNNNNNNNNNNNNNNNNNNNNNNNNNNNNNNNNNNNNNNNNNNNNNNNNNNNNNNNNNNNNNNNNNNNNNNNNNNNNNNNNNNNNNNNNNNNNNNNNNNNNNNNNNNNNNNNNNNNNNNNNNNNNNNNNNNNNNNNNNNNNNNNNNNNNNNNNNNNNNNNNNNNNNNNNNNNNNNNNNNNNNNNNNNNNNNNNNNNNNNNNNNNNNNNNNNNNNNNNNNNNNNNNNNNNNNUUUUUUUUUUUUUUGAAAAAUUGAUCAUUAUGCCUGUAUUAUGGAAAGUUUAUUAGUUCUGUUUGAUGAAUAAAUUGAAACCUAUAAAAAUAAAAAAUCAUAAUUUUUGGAAUUUCGAAGAGGUGGGGUGGAGGUGGAGCAAAAGGAGAAUAUAGGUGUGAAUAUUGCAUUGGUAAUCAAUAUUUUGGUUGGCUGUAGUUCUCUUUCCUUUUGUUUUUUUUCUUUUUUGGUCUUUUAUUUGUGGUGCUUUGAAAAUCUGGAGGUUUCCAUGAUUCGCAUUAAACGAGACCUCUCAUCAACGAUAAAUGAUGCAGCAACUCAUAGUUAUGAGUUUAUAUAAAAGUUUUUUUUUUCUCUUCAUCGAGGGAUUUUCGUUGCAGGUCUUAGCUUGGGCGCAAUAAUUUUUCAAAGUUAAUUGGAGAAAUUUUUUUUCUCUUUUGGUACUAUUCAGUGCUGCCUCUGUAUUGCAUAUAUAUUAUAUGGAUGACUAUUUUUUUUUUGAAGGUUUGAAAGUUUGAUAGUUGUUUUCGUUCCCUGUGCUUCGACCAGUGUACAUGACUUUUAACCUUUGGUUAUAAUUUUUUAUUUUUACGAUGGAUACAGUCGGCCAUGCUAUGGGAGCUUUCGCAAAAGAGAGAGCGGCAGUUCUUGCUCUCUUGCUACCAAAUAAAAAAUAUGGGUUAAAUACUUUUUUGAGUCUUAGAGUUUGCUGUUCUUUGGGCUUGUUUUUUCUGCCUAUAAGACCUGUGAUUUAUAAUAGAACUUAAGUUUAGACCAUUUUUUUGUAUUAUGUAUUAUUUUUCAAACCUUAGUUCUUAGUGCAGAAGCUGAAUAUAGACCAAGUCUUAUUUUCUUUUAUCAUUAAUGAAUUUCAUUUCUUGAAUAAAAGAAAAAAAAAUCUGAGGGAGAACUAUCACGAAUGCGGAGUGCUAAGAAGUACCGAGAACUGUUGAGAAGUUCUCAUGGAUUCCGAGGAUCACAACCAUGAAAAGUGUUGAGAAGUCCUCGUGUACAUGAUGAGAAGCGUUGGAUUGGGUUAGAUUGAAUGAGUUUAUGCAAAGAGCGCGAUAUGGCAAACUCCAUUAGCAUGUAGUGGGAAUAGGGAUGACAAGGAUUAAUUAUAAUAAAGUUUAUAAUUCAUGAUAUAUUUGUGGAAGAGAAAACAAGGCCAAAUUUGAAAUUUUUUUGACAUCCUCCCCAGCUAAAAUAUGAAAGGAGGAAGUCGAAAUUUCACCCCCUUUCAAGAAAAUAUUCAGCUGAAACAUAUUUGAUGAGUUAAUAGAAAAAAAAUUUUUCAUAGAAAUUUUUUUUUCCUUUCCUUGCAGAGAGUUGGACCAUACAUUCAACAACUCGAAAGUGAUCAUCCUGAAUACCCGAUCUUUGAGUGCCCGUACUCUACCAUCCCUUUGUCUUUGAUACACAUAGCAGCAAUCCGAACACUCCCUGGAACAAAGAAAUAUCAUAUCCAAUAUCCAUUAGGAUGGUACAAUAACUUUCUGUUUAAUCCUGUCCUUGAACACCCAAAAUGCAGCAAGUUGCAUGCAGCCAUAAAGGAUUCUGCACUCGACCAUUUCAUUCGUGUUCACAUGCUGGUUUCAGAGACACCGUAAAGCAUUGAGACCCGGAAAAGUGAAAAUGGAAUUUCUUUAUUUUUCGUUAUACUCCCAAGUAAACUAUUCUACAAGAAGAGGAUCCACAAUGCAAGUUUGUUUAACAGUGUUGAGACCUGAAAAUGGUAUUUCAUUGUUUUUCCUUAUUCUCCCAAGUAAAUAUUCUACAACAAGACGCUUCACAAUGCCACAACUUUAAGCUAUUAUCGGUCAUAAAUAGUGACAGCGACAAUAGUUGAAAACAUAUAUAUUGAGAUGCAAGUAAAUUAAAUAGGAUUCAGACUUGAAACUUCUGGACUUGUGAGGAAACCAACAUAAUUCCUCAAACAUGACUCUGGGAUUUACAACAAAGCAAGGAAACCCACCUUAGGCAAGCAUGCCAAUGAUCUACAUUCUGUCCACCACAACUGUCAGGGAAAGCUUUAGGUACUGGAAGUCAGACCAACCACGUCCAGACAUCACUAUAGAUCACAACAUGGGGAGUUGGAAAUGCAAACAAAGAAAAAGCAAUGAAAUUCCAUUUUUAACAAACACCACGUAGAUAAUCAGGUCUCAUCCUUUCCCCUGAUGUGUAGCAAGGCAUAAUCUGCAUCACUGCAGAAAAAGGGAAAAAAAAUUUGUACAAUGAGCAAGCAUAUAAGCAUCAUAACAUCAAUAACAAUAAUGAGUUACAGAAAACUACCUCUACAUUCUCUGCCCCACCUACUUUGGCAGUGCCAUUGAUUUUCUGAGCAUCUUCUGUUGCAGAAAGAGUUGAGGGAAAUUAAAGAUCAAGCAGAUGAUAAUUGAGAUGAAAACUAAAUGCAAAGGUGAUUGGGAAAACAAUGAUCCAACAGAAUGUGAAAGUUCUAUGAAUUUGAUUACUCAUGCAUAGGUAAAUUAAUAAAAUUUAUUUCUAAGUUUGCUUCUCCAAGGAGAACUGAAAACCGGUAAAUAAUUUCAUAUUUCAGUCCUCAAAGUUACCCUCAGUUGCCUAUUUGAGUUUCCACACAUUCCUAGCUUUUAAAUCAACUCAAACACGGACAUAGAUAUAAAACCUACAAGCUCCCAAUGUCGCAAUGCAACAUUUAAUGCUCCACAAUAAUUCAAAGCUUCAUUUCAUAAUAAACUGAAGUGAUAUAUACAUAGCCAGCAAUUCUCUUCCUCCAGAUGCCACAUAUCAUGGUUUAUCUAUUUAUCAAUGGAACCAAGGCAAACAUCAUGUGCCUUAAACACAUACUCUCAAUGCAAAGUGUGAAUAGAACAUUUCACCUCAUUCUGAUGAAAAGAUGAUGCAAAUAACAUUAGCCACAUACAUGCAAAAUAGCAUAGAACUAAUGACUAAAGAAACAUCUAAAUAGCAUGAAUAAUCAUCAAGUAGAAAGUAAAGGAGAGGAAAACACGGUUAGACACAAAAAAUUAUAACUAUGCAACCAGGUGUUAAUAGCUUGAUUAACAUGUAGUGAUUAUGGCAAUUACCUGCAUCCUCUGGGAUCUCAGAAGUCCACAAGGUCAGGUUGUCCCUGAGAAGCUGCAUUAUUAAGGUGCUAUCCUUGUACGAUUCCUCAUUUAGAUUGUCGAGCUCUGAGAUUGCUUCAUCAAAAGCUUGCUUUGCAAGGUGGCAGGCCCUAAGGGGAUAAAUGAAUUUGAUAUCAUACGAGUUCACAAAAAAUUAUUUAUUGCAAGUUACUCUAAUAUAAGCUAGCUAUUUUCCAACACACCUUUCAGGUGAAUUCAAGAUCUCAUAAUAGAAUACUGAGAAAUUCAAUGCCAACCCCAAUCGUAUAGGAUUUGUAGGGGGCAAAUCAGACUCUGCAGCAGUAGUAGCUGUCUGCAAACCAAGGGGGAAAGAGUUGCUUAAACCAUUUGCUCUAUAACAAGUUGCUAUGAUAAUAAGGAGAAUAGAAGUGCAUAGAGGAAUAUGUUGUCUAACAGGAAUGGUACUGUAACUGAUGGAAUUCAAUUCAGAAUUUAACAAAACCACAAUUACUCUCUCUUCAUUCUCUCUCUUUCACUCCCCUUCUCUACAGUUGGUAUCAGAGCAUAACAAUCACUUAAUUCCAUCAGAUUGAUUACAUUUAAUCACAAUAUGAUUCCAUAAGACAAAAUUAGUAAGCUUUCUGAAUUCCAUCAGAUUAGAUAAUUGAAAAAGCCACAGCUACAACAAUCACUUUCUAAUCUUCACACUCCUCCAAUCAUUAAAUCUAUCUCGAAGCUUGCAUUCUAACAUCAAAAUUUUAUUUAAAGGAGCCAUGGAACUAUGAACAGUAGGAAGGAAGCUACAAUAAUGAAACAUAAGGAGCAAUAUACAACAAAAUCAAGUAAACCAAAUUGAUAGUCAAACUUCAAAGUCUGCAAUUGUCUAAAAUAUUCAAACAAGUAGAGAAGACACUUUUAGCUUUCAAUCAACCAACUGGCAACUCAAAGAAUAUGGUAACCAUGUUUAUCAAUAAAAUGAAAGUAUAUGGUGCAUCCCAGCCCAUGAUCUCUCUGUUAAGAGAAAUCUUAACCAAAAAAUUUCUUGAUGGCAUUAUAAUUUAUAUUCGGGGUUCACAGAUAGAUGGUGUUAACAAAAGCUUUUGUAUUAUCC
rnacentral:lncRNA from 1 species